GGUGGGAAAGAAACCCAUACUGAAUCCGUCUGUGUUCAAAUGUCGCUUAUAGGAAACGUCUUUCUCAAAAAUAAUUCCCAGUGUUGGGAUUCAAAAGGUUGCUGGCAUGAUCCUGAUUUGGUGACAUUAGCAGCUGUGAGAUUUUCUUUCAAGACCUUGUCUGGGGGGAUUUGGAUCACCAAAGAGAAGGGUGCCGAUUUCACAAGACCAGCCAUAAAGAAGAGAAAGGAGUCUCACUGGUUCUCAAGGAGGAAGCUCCUGAAGCAAGAAGACCUCACACCCUCUGAGGAUGCCUGCCAUAGAUGUGGGCAAAACGUCAGGAGAGAAUGCUCCAGGAACAUGGCCACAGAGCUCGGAAAACUCACAACAACCCAAGAAGCAUGUGUCCGAGGCUACAAGCUUACAAGAUGCCAAGAUAUAGAAGUGUGUGGGUUUUUUUUUUUCUGCUGUGGAAAUGCAAGCUACAGGGAAAUGGAUAGCUCUGGUCAAGAGUCUCUCUCUCUCAGUCUUGCUCAACAGCUCUGCUAGUGCUCACACAUGUUUGGGAUCAGAAAGAAAACCUGGGAGGACAGAGACGUUUCUCCUCGCAGCUAUUUUUUUCCGGGUGGAGGGGAGGGAGACGGGACUGCAUGUUCCUCCCUCCUACCCCUUUAGCAUUAGCCCUCCUUUCCCAAUGGCAAGUCGGGAAAGAAGAGCCUUUGGGAAGCUUGCAGCCAGCUCUUCCUCAAGGCAUCUACCCUGAGCAUGUUGGGGAUGGCUUCAGAGCUUGGACAAGUGUAUGCCUCUCGCUGGUCAAUGCCAUCCCUAGUUCAGCUCUGCUCGGAAUGGACUCGGCGGCAAUACCCACCUUUCUCGAGCUGUCAGUGACUCCCGUUUUUCCUUAUUUUAACGGUUGUGUGUAGUGGCAGGCGACAGAUGGUGGAGAUCAGAUCGAUUUGAUUGCAUUAGGCGAUUCUCUCCCUCUCUCUUCCCCCUCCCUCUUUCUGUCUCCCUCCUCUUUUCCCUCUCUCUCCCUCUGUCUCCCUCCUUCCUUCCCUCCCUCCCUCCCUCCCUCCCACCCGCACCAUCCCUUCUUUUCUGGAAGCCCGCAGCCUCGGAGAGGCGACCGCCGGGGACCUGGGAGAGCAGGACCAGCCUCCGCCGAGGUGGGAAGGCGACACAAUGCUAGCUCCCUUGCAAUGCCCGGGGCUUGUUCACACUGUAAUCCGGCACCAAGGGGGGAGAACAGAGGAGGAGGAGGAGAAGAAAAGCCGCUUUCCGCCGACCAGAGCUUCUCUCCCCUCCCAAAGACGCCUCCCUGGGUUUUACACACAGUUGGAGUUGGGCUCGAAACCGGGAUUGAAAGGAAACCCGUUCCCGAUGCCAUCCCGGGGAGAGGACUCGACGGAGGAGGGCCAGCCACGGGAGAAGCCGGCAGCGGGCUCCAGGGAGGCCCCGGAGUCUCGUGGAUUUUGCUUCGCCUCUCUCGUGGAUUCUUCUCUUCCUCCUCCUCCUCCUCCUCCUCCUCCUCCUACUCUUCCUCCGGGCCAAGGGACGUACCGUUGUGGAUUUAUUGUCGGGCAAGCUCCAGGUUCCUCUUCCUCCACCACCGCCGCCAUCCUCUUCGUCGCCAUCGCCGCCUCCAUCACCGCCGGCAGCAGCUUCCUGACUCUCUUCGGUGACGGGUAUUCUUGGGUGGAUAAUACGGAUUACGUUGUUAUUGCUUAAGAAUACGCGUAGUCGAGGAGAGUACUCGCGGCAGGGCGGGUGGGCAGCAGCGGCCGCCGCCUCCUCCUCCUCCUCUUCUUCCUCCUCCUCAGCCCACUCUCCGGGGCUCCUUUCAAACGGCUCUAGUUGCCAAGGUAGCGCAUCUUCCUUUUCAUUUUGGUUUCGUCUUGCUCUCUUUCUUCCUCCCUUUGGGUUUGUGCUGCACCCCUCGACGUCUCCGGCGCCCCAAAUGACCCUUCAACCGGGGCGGGGUAGCCAAACUGCAGCUUCCCUCUCCAGUAGUGCGGAGAAAGGAAGAUAGACCUAAUCUAUCCAAAUACACAUACACUUCCAAGGUGGGCCAAACGUCAGGGAGGGAUUUCAAUAUUGAAGAACGCAUUUGUAUUGCCCAAGGCUUUCAUGGCCGGAAUCACAGGGUUGCGGUGAGUUUUCCGGGCUGUAUGGCCAUGUUCCAGAAGCAGGACGUUUCGCCCACAACUAUGGCAGGCAUCCUCAGAGGUUGUGAGAUAUAUUGGAAACUAGGUAAGGGAAGUGUAUAUAUCUUUGGAAGGUCCAGGGUGGGAGAAAGAACGUUUGUCUGUUGGAGUCAAGUGGGAAUGUUGCAAUCAAUCAUCUUGAUUAGCAUUGAAUAGCCUUUCAGCUUCAAGGUCUGGCUGCUUACUACUUGGGAGAAUCCUUUUUUGGGAAGUGAUUAGCAGGCCCUGAUUGUUUCUUGUCUGGAAUUCCCCCUUUUUCAGAAUGUUGUUCUUUAUUUACUGUACUGAUGUAAGAGUCUUUUUUAAUACUGGUAGCCAGAUUUUUUUUUUCAUUUUCAUGGUUUCCUCCUUUAUGUUGAAAUUGUCCACAUGCUUGUGGAUUUCAAUGGUUUCUCUGUGUAACUUGACAUGGUGGUUGUUAGGGUGGUCCAGCACCCAAACACGAAUCAAGGAACAUGAAAGGCACUGCAGACUAUCUCAACCAGAGAAGUCAGCCAUACCAGAGCACCUGGACACAGCAUAUUACUUGAGAACACAAAAAUGCUGGACCUCUCUAACAACCACCAUGUCAGACUACACAAAAAAGCCACUGAAAUCCGCAAGUAUGUGGACAAUUUCAACAAAAAAGAUAAAACCAUGAAAAUGAAUAAAAUCUGGCUACCAAUAUUUUUUUAAAAAACUCCAAAAUCAUGACAGUAAAUAAAGAACAACACUCAGAAAACAGGCGAAUUCCAGACAGGAAACAAUCAGGGCCAGCUAACACUACCUAAGAAAGGAUUCCCCCAGGCAGGAAUCAGCCAAGCUUUGAAGCUGUAAGGUCAUUCAAUGCGAAUCAAGGUGAUGAAUUGCAACAUUCACACUUGCUUCCUACAGAGAAGAGUUCCUUCUCCCACCCUGGGACCUUCCACAGAUAUAUAAACUUCCCUUACCUAGUUUCCAAUAUAUCUCACAACUUCUGAGGAUGCCUGCCAUAGUUGUGGGCGAAACGUCAAGAGUAUAUGCUUCUGGAACAUGGCCAUACAGCCCGGAAAACUCAACGCAACCCAAUAACACAUUUAUUUUUAAUUCAGUUCUCAACAUCAAAACCUCAUGUACAAUAUAUGUAAUAAUGACUUUGGGCCCACUCUAUACGCACGCACACAUACACGCAACACGAGAUGUGAUGUCCCGUUCUCUGUCUGCCUGCACUUGACUUCUAGAGGUUGCAUCGCUUCCUUCUUAAUGCGAAUUAAAGGGACCCCUCCCUUUCCUGGCUUCUGAUAUUUGCGGUCACUAGGAAUUCCUGGUGUGUGCGUGUCUGUGUGUGUAGGAAAGGGUUUUUUUGGGGGCAGGGGUGCUAAUACGGGGAAGAAGUGUCAUUUUGUCCUGAAUACAGUCGAUGGAGGAAAGGGUGUGCUUUUGAGCCGAUGGCGACUGGGAUUGUCUUCAUGAGAACGAGUGGAAAGGAUGUUCGAGGGUGCAGUGAAUUUGAAUCAAUGGUCACUAUACUCCUUUCGCUUCCCGUUUUACUUUCUAUUUAUUUGUGUAUUUGUUUUGGAGGAAAGAUUUGGAAAUGGGGAAAAACCUUUAAACACGGGCGAGACGCAGAUAUAUAUAUUAUUUCCAUCAUUUCCGCCUCAGUUCCAUAUAGACGUGGUUUGCGGCCACGUCCCUCCGCUUCUCCAAGGACAACAGACCUCACAGACAUAAAUGCACACACAACCAAUAUUAUGUUGCUUUGAGUUUUCCGGGCUGUAUGGCCAUAUUCCAGCAGCACGUUUCUCCCACAUCUAUGGCAGGCAUUCUCAGAGGUCGUGAGGUCUGUUGGAAACUAAGCAAGUGGGGUUUAUAUAUCUGAGGAAUACCCAGGGUGGGAGAAAGAACUCUUGUCUGAGAAAAGUAUGAAUGUUGCAAUUAAUCACCAACUGAAUAGCCUUGCAGUUCCAAAGCUUGGCUGCUUCCUGCCUGGGGGAAUCUUUUGCUGGGAGGUGUUAGCUGGCCCUGAUUGAUUCAUGUCUGGAAUUCCUCUGUUUUCAGGGUACUCUUUAUUCCCUGUCCUGAUUUUGGAGGGUUUUUUUUUAAUGCUGGUAGCCAGAUUUUGUUCAUUUUCAUUGUUUCCUCUUUUUCUGUGUUAGGGCCAGCUAACACUUCACAACAAAGGAUUUCCUCAGGCAAGAAGCAGCCAGGCUGUGAAUCUGUAAGGCCAUUAAAUGCUAAUCAAGGUGGCCAUUUGCAACUUUCACACUUGCCUCCAGCAGACAAGAGUUCUUUCUCCCACCCUGGAUUUUACACAGUUACAUAAACCCCACUUACCUAGUUUCCAACAGACCUCAUAACCUCUGCCUGCCAUAGAUGCGGGCGAAACGUCAGGAGGGAAUGAUUCUGGAACAUGGCCAUUCAGCCCGAAAAACUCACAGCAACCCAGUGAUUCCGGUCAUGAAAACCUUCGACAACACAACCAAUACUCUUUCUGGCCUUGAGCAACUCGGUGCUAAACUCGGAGACUGAAAUAAAUCCUCUUCAUUUGGAUGGAAUCUACAGCCCGGUUCUGAACAGCAAGUCAAUAGCCGGUGCCUGUCCUCUCAGGGUGUAGAAUUAAUGCAAUUUGGCCCCAUUAUAACUGCCUUUGGUCAAUGCUAUGGAAUCCUGGGAUUUGUAGUUCGGCAGUCUUUAUGAGAGAACGUUUGUGUCCUUAAAAAACUUCCUGAGCCAUGGCAGUUAAAGUGAGAUCGAACUGCAUUAAUUCUGCAGUGGAGAUGCACCUUGAGGUAGUAGUAUAGAGGAGGGCAGGCGCACAGGCAUUUUGCAUAGGAAGCCAAACCGAGGGCGCAUCCACACAGCAACAUUUUAGCAGUCUGGUAUCGCUUUAACUGUCAUGGAAAGUUGGGGUUUGUAAAUGAUGUGCCUUCUGCUGAACUGCAACGUUAAAUAAUUCUCACUACUGCUUUCCAAAUUUCGAGACCGUCUAGUAGGAAGCUUUGGAAGUUAACGUGGUAUGAAAGUGCUUUCAUUGCGAAGUAUGGAUAUUGGAUACAACCCAAGUCGAUUCUGUUUACUUCGAUGUGUGUGUUGUCGAACGAUUUCGUGGCCAGAAUCACUGGGUUGCUGUGAGUUUUCCUGGCUGUAUGGCCAUGUUCCAGAAGAUGCACCAACCUGGACACAGCAUAUUAUUUGAGAACACUGAAAUGCUGGAUCACUCUAACAACCACCAUGACAGACUACACAGAGAAGACAUUGAAAUCUACAACCAUGAGGACAAUUGGUUUCAAAGGUGGUUUUGCCCAAUGUAGGACUAGGGGUCCUUCCACACAGCCAUAUAUCCCAGAAUAUCAAAGCAGAAAAUCCUACAAUAUCUGCUUUGAACUGGGUUAUCUGAGUCCACACAGUCAUAUAUUCCAGUUCAAAGCAGAUAAUGUGGGAUUUUAUUCAGCUGUGUGGAAGGGACCUCAGAUAACCUAGUUCAAGGCAGAUAUUGGUGGAUUUUCUGCCUUAAUAUUCUGGGUUAUAUGGCUGUGUGGAAGGGCCUUUGGUGCCUUUCACGUACUGCCUAGUAAACCUGAACAAAACUGGGAUUUUAAGGGCGUUUUCCCUCUAGCUUUGAGCUCUCACUUCCUUCAAGUCAAGAGCUUGGCAGAUCCUUGGCAUCAGUGGUGGACAAACAGAAAGGGCGUUCACUCCUUUUCUUCUGCCUCAAAAGCAAAAGCGCUCUUGAAAGAUGGGGACUGCAGAGGGAGAAGGUGGGGCGGAGAGAGCCAGGGCCCUUCCCUUCAUCAGGCUUAAGUUAUUUUAUACCCACUGGACAGUACAUUAAGUCAUGUAAUUAUAUUCCACGUUUUGCUCAGAAAUAGGAUGGGAGGCAGUGUGCAGAAAUUAAUACAUUAAAAAAUACUAAAGAAGCAAAGAGAAAAGCAGCAAGACUACAUGCCAGACAAAUGAAGUGUUGGCAAGAGGCUUCUAGGAUAACAGUCUUCUAUUCGACUCCCAAGGCCGGUUGACCCCACUUGAACUGCCAUGCCUCAGUGCUAUGGAUUUAAUCCCAGGGGUUGUAGAUUUGCAACAAUAUUUUAUUUAUAUUCCACUCUAUCUCCCCAAGGGGACUCAGAGCGGAUUACAAGGUACAUAUAUGACAAACAUUCAAUGUCUAUACAAUUGACAAAGACAGACAGUACAUAAACAGAGGCAAGGCUUCCCUCUUUUCAUCUCCGGCAUUUGGCUUGUGCUGGACUCGGCCAUGGGGAGGUGCUGUUCUUUCAUUUUCUAACCUGUAGUCCAUGGACGCCUUUUCUGGUUGGAUUUUUGCCAGCAUGUUUUACAGGGUGUCUUUUACCUCCACGCCAAAGCAGUACCUAUUAAUCUACUUACAUUGUUGUUUUUGAACUGUUGGUGAGCAGAAGGUGGGCUGACGGGCAGGAGCUCACCCCAACCCAGGGGUGGAUUGCCAGCCUUCCGGAUCGGCAGGAUCUUCUAUAGCUGGUGGAUUAACCUUCUGGCUAGCCCGGUCCAUAGUCUUUAGACUUCUCUGUCAAAUGCAUGCUGGUUCCUUAUCAGACUCCAAAUCCCAGGAUCCCAUAGCAAGGAGCUAUGGCAAUUAAAGUGGGGUCAAACUGCAUUCAUUCUAGAAUGUAGAUGCACCCAAAGGAAAUGCCUUUGUGCAGGGGAGGUAAGAGAAGAGAAAGAAAUAUCCACCCAAGUCUGCAGUCCAACAAUCACAUUAAGAGAAUCACCCAUCCAUCCAACUCCAUGACAUCUAUCUACGUACAAUAUUUUUUAUUAUUUUUUUCCAGAUUUAUUUAUUUACUUUACUUAUGUCCCAUCCUUCUUACCCCCAAAGGGAGACUCAGGGCAGCUUAUGGCAAUAAUUCAAUGCCAGAUUCAAACAAUAACAAUAACAGUAAACCAAUAUUAUAAAACUAUAAAACCAUAUACAUAUCAAUUAUAAAUAAUCUUCCAGAUGAUUAAAAUAUAUCAAAGAUCUAGCACAAACUCAACUUUAUAAACAUUACAUCAAUUGCUUUCACCGUUUGUCAUACUUAUGGGUCAUAUUAAUCCCCAAAAGCUUGCUUAAAUAGCCAGGUUUUAAGAUUUUUUUUCCUGAAGCUUAAGAGUGAGGGGCUCUUCUGAUGUCACUAGGGAGGGAGUUCCACAGCCACGGGGCAGCUACCAAAAAAGCCCUGUUUCUCAUCCCGCCAAUUGCGCCAGAUGAAAAUUUGCCCCAAAGCUAGCCCUCUCUGCUCUCUAUUUCCCACCAACCCUCAAAUAUAAACAUAGGUGUGCUGUGGAAGAUUUUGUUUUAAUUUCCUUUCCUUAAGAAAGUAAUUGGUGGGAAGUACAGAGAUCCAAGAAGGGACAGAGUAAUACGAGAAGCAGAAAUGUGAUAUAGUGAAGGGAAGCAGGAAAAGAGUUUUCUUAGGGCCCUUCCACACAGCCUUAUAACCCAGAAUAUCAAGACAGAUCAUUCACAAUAUCUGUUUUGAACUGGGUUAUCUGAGUCCACACUGCCAUAUGAUCAAAUUAAAUGUGGAUUUUAUACAGAUGUGUGGAAAGGGCAUUAUUCUCUUUGCACCCAUUAUAAUUAUUCUGCCAGUCCCACCCCCUAACUACAGCUGGAUCUACACUGCCAUAUAAUGCAGUUUGAACUGGAUUGACAGUGUAGAUCCAACUCCCAACAAAUACGUUCUCGGUCAGUGGAGGAAGAUAUGUGCUAUAAAUCUAUGGCCACUUCUGCCUCCCAUAUCCCUUUCCUAUUUGCUUUCUCUGGGUGCUGCAACACUGUAGAGUUAUGCAGUUUGACACCACUUGAACUGCCAUGGCUCAGUGCUAUGGAAUCCUGGGAUUUGGAGUCUGAUAAUAAAACAGCACUCUUGAGCAGUGCGGGCUAAAUACUUUGUAGAACUACAGCUCCCAGGAUUCUAUAGCACUGAGCUGUGACAGUUAAAAUUAUGCCAAACAACACUAAUUCUGGUGUGUGUAGAAGCUCACUCUCUUAUCCUUGUUCAGCUUUCCCCACCCAGGAGCUUGUGGUCUGCCUCAGAUUGCAGCUCCCAUCAUCCUCAGUUAACACAACUGCCUGGGGAUGAUGGGAGAUGAAGUUGGAGGCACCUGAAAGUAAGGAUAAUGAUCUUCCUAAGGACUGCUACUGCUUUAAAAUCUUCCCCAAUCUGCAUCAGACACUUUUCUCAACCCUAGCUGCACAUUCACACAUAAUAAUAAUAAUAAUAAUAAUAAUAAUAAUAAUAAUAAUAAUAAUAAUAUAACCCCCCUCUCCUUGUGGCUUAGGUACAGGUACAGAUGCAAAUCCUUUGGAUUUGCAACCCUAAAGUCCACCAGCAUUCUCCUUUCAUCCAGAAAUUCAGUGAAUUACUAGCCCCAUUCCAGAUUGGGGAGCAUUGUUGGGUUCAUCUGUUGCAACUAAGGUCACAUAGAGUUGAAGGAGGAUACAGAACAAUCCUAUACACCCUUUCCUAGGAGAAAGGCCUGCCUGGAUGAUGAUGAUGAUGAUGAUUUUAUUUUUAUUAUUUUACCAGUCUCUCCUUAUGGCUUGAGGUGGGAUCAACACAGAAUACAAUAUAAAACAUAUGGAUAUGUGUGUGUGUGUGUAUUCACACACACACACACACACACACAUAAAAAGACAUAGGACAAAGAUAAAAACACAUUAAAAUCACACAUACCAAUAAAUAUAUAUUUAAGAUGCACUGAAUAAUAAUAAAGUUUAGCCUGGGGCUUAUUUCCAAGUAAACACACACAGACAUGCUUUGCCUAUGGCACUAUCUCAUAUUUACACUUCACCAAAUGGGAUCAGUAUACUUUUCCUUGUUGGUUCUAACCAAAAUAGACCCACUUAAUCCCUGGGAUUUAUGUAUUGAGUUGACCUAUUUUCCAACAAUUAAUUAAAUGGACCUACUUCAGGUGGACUAACUGACAGAUGCCAACCAUGGCCUUUCACAAAGUUCUGCUGAAAGAUCAAGCAGGGCAAGAAACAACAGGGGGCAUAACCAGGAAAUUGAGUUGGACACCUAAAUCCACACAGAUGAAAGGGCUCUUUUCCAACUCUUGGGGUGGCUAUUAUUCCUACAACUUUUUGUCAAACAGUUGUAGGUGCUAGGUGCUAAGAUUCCCUCUGUUCUGUCUGACUGGCUGUUAGUCAAACUUCCUAUCUAUGCAUCUGUACUAUAGGUGGGUUUAUUAAAUAUCUAUUUAUCCAUCUAUCCACCCAUACAUAUAUUCUACACACAUCUCAGAAUAUAUGUUCAUAUGUAUUUAUGUAUUUAUAUGAUAAAUGAAACCUCUCUUGAGCAGCUAUUUCAUUUAUCCAUGUUUUCCUCCUAUAUCUCCCAAAAUGCCAUGACAAUAAAUUAGGCAUGCUUUGGAAAGCAAAUUCUCUUUUUAAAAAAGAGAGUGGAGUGUGUGUUUUGGGUGGAGAAGUGAUGGGUGGAUUUCAUUGGACUCCCUGCUCUUUGUGUAGUAGACAUAGAAUAUUAUGCUUCUUCAGUCUUCCUGCUUAGUGCAUCAUUGAUGUUCUGUUACUCUUACGACUCUGUGUGUAUGCCUUCAAGUUGUCUGUUGACUUAUGGUGGCCACAAGAUUUUUGUAGGGUUUUCUGGGGCAACGAAUUCUCAGAGGUGGUUUGGCCAGUCCCUUCUUCUGAAAUAUAUACUGCAGCAUCUAAUAUUCAUCAGUAGUUUCCAUCCAAGUACUCAGCAGAGUCCACCCUGCCCAAGAUUUGGUAUCCUUAUUACUUGUUGUUCUGUGCCUUCAGAUUGAUACCCAAUUUAUGGAGAAUCUAUCAUAGGGGGUUCUUCUUGGCAGGAGGUUUACCAUUGCCUUCAUCUGAGACUGAGAGAGUGUGGUUAGUCCAAAGUCAACCAAUGGGUGUCAUGAUUGAGCAGAGAUUUGUAUUUUGGUCACCAGUGAUAGUCCAACUCCUAAACCACUGCACUUGCUGGUUCCACCUUUAUUACAGACCCAUCUGCACUUUCAAAUUGAUGUCAUUUGAUACCACUUUGACUGUUAUAUUGAGCCGUGGUGGUUAAACCCUUGUGUCAGCUGGACUGCUGACCUGAAGGUUGGGUUGCUGACCUGAAGGUUGCCAGUUUGAAUCUGCGAGAUGGAGUGAGUUCCCAUCCACCAGCUCUAGUUUUUGGGGACAUGAGAGAAGCCUCCCAGCAGGAUGGUAACACAUUCAGGCAUUCCCUGGGCAAUGUCUCUGUAGACGAGCAAUUCUCUCACACUAGAAGCAACUUGCAUUAUGUUCUCAAGUUGCUUCUGACACGAUAAAAAAAUUGCCCUGGGUUGAUGCUAUGCAAUCCUGUGAUUUGCAGUUUGGUGAAACAUCUUUACUCGUUGACAGAGAAGGCUGAAGGCCUUGUAAAGUUAUCACCCCCAGGAUUCCAUCACAUUGAUCCAUGGUGGUUAAAGUGGUGUCAAACUGCAUUAAUUCAACAACGUAGUUGUACCCUACAACUGCUAUUUAUUACUCUUAGUUGUCCACACAUUCACCUGGUUGCUCCCAAACAUCACUAAACAAAAUAGACCUCAGUCACAAGUGGUAGUAUGACUUGGCUUUGCCAUUGUAAACCAAUGACCAUAGUAAUUAAAUCUGGCAUAGUAAUAUUCUCAUGUUUUCUUCUGGGAGGGAGUCAGCCAGUGCAUCUAUACUGUAGAAUUAAUGCAGUUUGACCUCACUUUAACUACCAUGGCUCAGUGUUAUAGAAUCAUAGAAGCUGCUAGUUUUACAAGGCCUUUAGCCUUCUCUAUCAAAGAGGGCUGAUGCCUCACUAAACUACAACUCCCAGGAUUCCAUAGCAUUGAGCCAUAGUGGUUAAAGUGGUGUCAAACUGCAUUAAUUCUAGAGUACAAAUAUAUCCUUUGUUAGAAAGAUGCUUCGACAGUGCCAGCAGGAGGAAUGGCAGGACAGUGGGGGCAGGAUUUGGAGAGAAGAAGAUGCUGGAAGGGAAGGGGCAGUGUUUCAAAAAGAAUUGAGGAAAUGGUUGGAUAACAUUCAGAAAACGUUCACUUGUAGAACUGAGGUUGGGUGCGGUGGGGGCCCAAAACUACCAGUGAAUUAGAUAGCUAAUGAAUAGUCAUCGUCCUUCCUUCCUUCCUUCCUUCCUUCCUUCCUUCCUUCCUUCCUUCCUUCCUUCCUUCCUUCCUUCCUUCCUUCCUUCCUUCCUUCUUUCCAUCCGCCAUGAAGACCAAACAGUUAUCACUAUGGUGGGAUGGAAUUAAGGUGGAAGAGAACAGAAUGAAAUGGACAGUCUAAAGCUACAUUCCUGUGACUUUGAUGGCAGAUUUUAUUUAUUUAUUCACUGUUUAAAAUAUAUUUGUAAUUUCAUAGCUUCCCCAUAAUGGACAUUCUCUGAGUGGUUGCGUAACAGAUGCAAUGUGGUGGAACCGUUCCACAUUCUUCACCUAGGGAUGCUUUUGGGUUGACAACCCAUUAAACAAUGUCUUUUCACACCUCUCCACCCUUUGGUCUAUCAGUCCCCUUGUUGUGUCAUAACCCUCUGCCCCCCUCAAGGAUUACAUGACUUUCUCAAACAGGGCAGGUUGUAAUGUUCUGCACACUUACCAGGAAGGAAGCCCGGUUGAUUUCAAUGCAUCUAUUGAAAGUGACACUGUACAGUUAAUAAUGGUGUUAUUCCUGCAUAAACUGGGUGUGUAUGUGUGUGUUGCAGGGACAAGAGAGUAUAAGCUAUGGCAUGAAAAGUAUAGUGUUGGUACUUAUGUUGUAAUCUUGGAGAAAGGUGCAUAGCAGGAAAAAUAUGCACAAGCUAAGCAAUCUGGUAGCCUAUGGAUUGGCGCUCCAAGAUAAGAAACAGACAAUGGUUCAAUGUUGCAAUUUUAGACUCUGGAAUUAAGGAGGAAUUGAGGGGAACUGUUCAGUGACAAUGUACAUUACUUUAAAAUAUGCCAAGACACUGUACCUGAAUUUAAGCGCAAAUCAAAUCAUUAUUGACAAAUCACAUCCUUCCUCAGCCUGCUGUCUUCCACAUAUGUUGGAGUGUCACUUUCAUCAUUCUCAGACAGAACACUGCAAUUAAUUAAUUCAUCAAUUAAUUAAUUAAAGUGCCCGGCCUUGAUACUUAAAUAUAAAUUUUAUAUAAAUUGAUUAAUAUCUCACUUUUUUCCAUAUGGAGUCAGUGCACAUGGGGAAAAAAAUACAAUUUCAGCUUCCUUUUUCCAGAAAUCCAAAAUCUGAAAUGGGUGGCAAAGACAGUGACACCUUGAAUUUUUCAUGAACUAAAUUACUAAAAUAUUGUAAGUUAUGUGUAUAAAAUGUACAUGAAACAUAAAUUAAUUCUGUGUUUAGAUGUGGGUUCCAUUGUUAAGAUAUUUCAAUAUAAAAUCUGAAGGAAAAAAAGUGAAAUGAAAACACUUCUGCCUCCAAGCUUUUCAGAGAAGGGAUUCUCAACCUGUAGUUAAAUGAUCUGUAAAAUACCUUUUAAAGCAUUAAACAAGAAUUCUCUUGAAAACAUAAAUUUAGAAUCAAUAAAAUGAAUCAAAAUUGAUUGUAUAUCAAGAAUUGGAAUGCUAUUUGCAUAGCCCUGACCAAUUCAAAACCGAUGGUCUAUUUAAAUAGGCAAAAUGAGAGCAGAGAGGAAACCGAAUGAUCCUCCCUGGAAUCAUCUGCUGAGAAGGCUCCUUCCCAAGUUCUCACCAAAGGAAGUCAUGAUGAUGGCAGACAAAGUGAAAGCCCUCCUCCAAGAUAUUAAAACCUGAGCAGACUAGUACAUUAGGAGUUGUAAUUCAAGAAAUCUGGAAGGCACCAGGCAUAGAAGGGUGAUGCCCUAAAGCUAGUGGUACUACCUGUCUUGGUUACAUAAGAAAGGUGAAGAAGUGACAAAAAUAAGGGAUAGAUGUGAGAAAAUGCAGAUAGAUUAAAACCAUCUACCCAAGUAGUUUUCACCGGUGGGUCCCCAGGUGUUUUGGCUUACAACUCCCAGAAAUCCCAGCCAUUUUACCAACUGUUAGGAUUUCUGGGAGUUGAAGACCAAAACAUCUGGGGAUGCACAGUUUGAGAACCACUGAUCUACCACAUUUAAUGCAGUUCAAAGCUAGCUUCAAACUCUGGUGGCUAGAAAACAAUUUCCUACAGAAGUGUGUAAAAGAAAGUCCUUUAUGCACAUCAGCAUUUUCUUCAAUACCAUUUUAAAACUACAUUAAAUGGUCAGUGUACAUGAUGCCAUAAUUGUUUUUGCAUACAAUUGGGAUGUGUUUCCACUGCUCAGUGUUAGAAUACAUAUACAAACAUAUAUAUACAAAUACUAUAAGAAUGCAUUCAGAAUAUUUGCUGUUUUAAGCAGUAGCAGCGAAUGCUGAAGUUCUUCCGGCUUAAAAGCCUAGCAUGCUUGUAAUUCAAAACAAUGGUAGAUCCAGAAAUAAGGAACAAAAGCAAAUUUUAUCUGAGAGAAGAAGCAUAGAGAACAUGGAUCACAUAGCAAGACUAUGGGAAGGAGAGAGAGGUAGCUAAGAGAUAAUGGGGACUUCAUGUUGCCAAACACACUAGCAAAUAGCAGUGCCUUGUAGGAUGACCUAUCUCCCUUCUCUUACUGGCACACUUUGCUCUCUUUUGUUACCUCCCCUGCAGUUGCACAAAAAAUGAAGCACAUUGUCCCCUCCCUUGACAAGCAGUUCUUCUUGUCAUUUGUGCUAGACAUCUGUCAGUGAGACAAGGAAUGGAACCAUUCACCAUAUCAAAGUACAUACAGGAAAGGAAUGCCAACAUUGGCAUGAGGAAUGAACUAGGUCCUUUCCCAGCCUGGCAGCAAUGAAGAUAGAAGAUAGAUAAUCUCCAUAGAGGAAGAUUGUGUUAAAUAACAAAUGCAGCGGAGGCAGCUGUGUUGGUUGUAAGCAGAAAUCCAAAAUCCAUAUAAGGUCUAAUACUGUUAUUAGGACAAGUGCAAAUUUGAAACUCCCUCCCUCACAAAAGAGUAGCCCAUUGCACCUUAUAAUUUUGAAAAGAUCCUUUAUUCCAGCUGCCUUCCACUGUUUCCCAGAUUUGUGUAGCUAAAUCAAAGACUCUUCUUUCCUAAAAUACAUCCUUAAAAGCCUAAUGCUGCUCUUUCAGAAGGAGUCUAUUUUUCCUCCCUUUCUCCCAUCAAAAAGAGUAGGCUAGAAAAAAAAAUAUUGCUUAAGACAAACCCUUCCAUCUGGUAUUGCAUCCCAUAAUGUCUGCAAAAUACAAUAUUUUUUACCAUUCCUUCUUUCUUUCUCUGAACAUUCUUUUUCUUUCAUUUUGUAAUGGACAUUAGCAGAGCCAGUCCAACAAUGAGGUGAAUUAAGCGGUCGCUUGGGGCGCAAAACAUACGGGGGCGCAGUCGAGACUGCUUUUUCUGUUGAUUUCUUGUAAAACAUGAUGUUUUGGUGCUUAAUUUGUAAAAUCUUAAUGUAAUUUGAUGUUUAAUAGGCUUUUCCUUAAUCCCGCCUUAUUAUCCAACAUUUUCACUUAUCCAACGCUUUUAUUUUUCAGUGAUUGGUUUUGGGGGGGACGCCAAAAUUCUGUUCGCCUACACUUAAAAAAUACCUAGGGCUGGACAUUAUUAAAAACAUUUCUUAUUUUAAAUGAUGACGUUGAAACUUUAGAGAAUGUCUGACCAUGUAAAUUCUUAGUACAAACCAAUGCAAGUGUGCUCAAAAGUAAUAUAAAUCUGGGUGUUGUUAUGCUGGCCAUGCAGCAAAGUAUAUAUUAAAAACUUCAUCAAGGUCAAUAGAUGAUAGAUAGAUAGAUAGAUAGAUAGAUAGAUAGAUAGAUAGAUAGAUGGAGAUAGAUUUUUUGUGUGUGUCAGGACAACUUGAAAAACUGCCAGUUACUUCUGGUUUUGAGAGAAUUGGCCGUCUGCAAGGACUUUGCCCAGGGGAUGCCCAGAUGUUUGAUGUUUUACCAUCCUUAUGGGAGGCUUUUCUCAUGUCCCCACAUGGAGCUGGAGCUGACAGGGGGAGCUCAUCUGCGCUCUUCCCAGGUUGGAUUUGAACCGGCAACCUUCAGGUCAGCAACCCAACCUUCAAGUCAGCAGCCUGCCAGCACAAGGAUUUAACCCAUUGCGCCACAGGGUCUCCAUGGGGAUAGAUAAAUGGUGAUAACUUUAUUAGGCCAACCAAAAGGCACAAAAUACAUUGCACUAGCUUUCAAAACUCACAGGUUUCUUCAUCAAGUAAAGAUGUUAAUGUCAUUUUAAGGCCCCGAAUUUUCCAUCAUCAUAUUUUUUCCUCCUAAAAUGGCUUUUAGCAAUUAUGCCUCAUAAAGCAGCGGGUGAGCUUCACAAGCCUGCUUAAUAUAUUUUGUACCUUUUGGCAGGUCUAAUAAAGGCAUCACCACAAUGUGUGUGUUAUUAUUUUUUGGUGGAACAUUUUACUCAAAAGUAAGUUGCAUGAUGUUCACUGAGGUUUACUUUCAGGUUAGCCAGACAGUAAUAGUCCAACAGACAUGCAUGGAAUUUGAAAGCGAAACAGGAUUUGAAAGACGCAUCUCGCUUUGUAUUCCUCAAAGCCUCCCUCUGAUCAAGACUGUAGUAGAAAAUGUCUUGCAAACCGGGGCAUGAUGCUGAGCUUCCAUUUCCUUAAUGAGCAACACCAACAGAUAUGGAUUGUCUGUUUUAUUUUGUAACCAUUAUAGAUUUUAUGGGGGCUAAGCAAUCUUUUGGUUAUCAGAGUAUGUAACCUUAGGCAAACGCAUCUCUUUAAAUUUGUGUUUCUUUCUAUGGCCUUCUUGAUUAAUUUGGUUAGCUAGUGGAUUUUCUUUUUUUUUAAGGUAUUGGCUGAAUAAUGCCUUAAUGAUAGGACUGAUGCAUUUUUAAUGCCUGUACUCUUUGUACUCUUCAUCAUUGUCCAAAUUAACAUUUUGAUGACCGUGGGUUUCUUUUCCACUUCUUGGAGUAUUUGGGAGAUUGCUGCAUUGUGGGGCUAAUAAUAGCAGACGUAUAUGGCCUGCUCAGAAAUAUAUAAUGUCGAGAAAUGCUAGCUGGUGCAGAGGCAGCUAGAAUUACACUCCCUGUGGCCUUGUAUAACAUGUACCCUGAGCAAAUUACUUAGCCACUCCUGGGAUCUGCCAGCUAGGUACAAUACAAAGGAACAAGGAAGGCUUUGAGAAUUGUGGCACUGCAAGGCACAUGAAUACCCCUUGGCAUGAUGAUUUUUUUUGUACUUUCCUCUACAAGCACAAAAGACACAUAUGGACUUAUAUUUCAUUUUCCUAUCACAACAGCCCUGUGAAGCAGGUUAGAAAGUCACAUAUGAUAUUAAAUGUAUGAUGCUCCCAAACUCAAAAUGUGGUAUGUGUCUCUGUGUUAAUGGUGGUGAGUGACUAUUGGAGGGGUCUCAUUGGGCAAUGUGAAACAACAAAAGCCUAAACACAAAUGGCUUUCUGACUGAUUCAAUUUCAAAUAAGUCAUUAUGUAACAUUAUUUUUACAAACCCCAAAAUUUAGUGUCAAGUGUUUAACAAGCAUUAUGUGAUUUUACUACUAGGCAAAAUGUUCAAAGCGGGGAUGAGAUGAAACCAGGGCUAGAUGAAGACCCAAUGAAUUCCUUAAUUUCAAAUUUCAGAUGCCUCCGAAUAUAAAUGCCUGAAUGUGUUCUUUUCAAAUAGUUAUGUAAAAUGUGUAAUGUACUAAUUUUGCUAUACUUAGAAGUCUCCUCCCCUUGUUCAUAAUUUUUUUUCCCUAAAUUAUACUUCCACCACUUGUGCAGUAAUCUGGCAAAAACCACCUGAAACAUCUUUUCUUUAUGAUCCUCAUAAGUAAAGCAACUAGAGGUUUAUUUUACUAUCUUAUUAAAUGAAAUCAAGACCUUCUAAGAAGGGAUCUGAGAUAUCCCACCAGGAGGCAAAUCCUCUAAGCUUCCCUAUCCCCCUUCCACCUGGCAUCUACUGUUGGAUUUGAAUGAUAUUCUCAGAGAGGAUCUUCCGUAUCUUAACAGAAGCUUUUCCAUGCUCAUAAACCACAUCUGGGAUAGGAUUUUCCAUGGCUAAAGAAAAUCACACUUAUGUACUAUAUAUACAUGAGUGCAUCUCUUUGUCUCCUUAUAUGUCUCUGGAGAUCAGUCUGGAUUUUGAGGUUAUUUUAAUAAUGUCAUACUUUUAGGAUUUUCCAGCUGUUUUAAUUGAUUGUAAUCCAUUUUUUUGGCUAAAGCAUGGGGUUGUUAUUGAUCAGUGUGAAGUUGGCUCCAACCUAUGACAACCCUAUGAAUAAGAGACUUCCAAGACACCUUCUUAUUUAUUUACUCUAUUUAUACCCCGCCUUUCUCUACCUCGAAGGUGACUCAAGGCGGCUUACAUAGAGGCGAUUAUUCAAUGCCUUAAAAAAUACAGAAUUAAAAAAAUUAAAAUUUAAUUAGAUUAAAAUCAGACAUAUUAAAUAUCUAAAAUCAUUACAUUACAUAAAAAAUCAUGCCAUACAUAGUCGUUCCAUAUAUUCUAAAACUAUCAUUGCACUGCCCUUAUUGACAGCCUGCAAACUCCGGAUCAUAAUUUUAUGGAUUAAAUCAAUCCUCUUUUAUUAUCAUCUUUUUCCUCUUUUUGUAUUACCUUCCACCCUUCCAAUUUUCUUUUCUUUUCUAGCGAGUCAUCCCAGGGUCUGUCCAAAGUAAGUCUUAGUUUAAUCAUUUGGUUUCUAGAAAGAAUGGGAUAGAUGUUCUUUAAUAGGAAAUGUGGGUAAGAAAUAAUAACUAAAACAAAAACAAUAAUAACCAGCUAGAUGUCUUGAGUGAUACCCAAUAGACCACUGGUUCUCAACCUGUGUGUCCCCAGAUGUUUUGGCCUUCAACUCCCAGAAAUCCUAACAGCUGGUAAACUGGCUGGAAUUUCUGGGAGUUAUGGGCCAAAACACCUAAGGACCCAUAGAUUAAGAACCACUGCGAUAGACUGAAAUGUUAUUUUCUCCCAGGAAAAAGUGGGCAACUAUGAUAUAUUUGCUGGCCAUAUUUAGUCCUAUGAAUCCUGUGGAAGCUGUGUAUAGCUAAAAUGUUGGUCCAUGCAUCAGUGGAAAACCCUCAGAAAUGACUAAAAGUCAUAUUUAGGUUUUGAAGAAAUAAGCGUUUGUAGUGUUAAACAUUGCCAGGAGAGGCAGGCUAAAAACUAUUGGAAAAAUGAAGUGUAACUCAUAGACAUAUGGUCUCCGUCUUUUAUGGUCAGAAGAAAAGGCAGUUGAGAGGUUGGGUGAGGUCAAAGGAUGCAAGAAUAGCCUUAGGGACUGCCCUUUGUCCCUUCCUCAGAUACAUCCAACAGACACACAUUUCCUCCCAUGGUCAAGUAAAGCAUACAAUUGUCCCAUGAGUUUAAAAGCAACCUUUGUAAAUGCUCUUAGCAUUUUUACCUUUUUGUCAUUUAUAUUCUCCCUUCCUUCCAACAGUUGGGGAUGGUUUAUGUUAAACAUUUUCACAUUUUAUCUUCAUAACAUGCAGGUGAAAUAAGUCGAGUACGUAAGUCCAUAGCUUGAAUGUGAAUUUGAAUCCAUAGCUCUCUGGCCAACUCCGUCCACUGAAGCACACUGCUUCUGGAGCCUUCCUCUGAAAAGAUAAUCCUAUGGAGAAAGUCAUGCACAGAGAGGGGGAAAGCUAACACAGUGGGAAAAAAAAGCUAAAAUGAGUUUUGUUCAGAUAAUUGUGUAGAAGUCAAUGAGAUUGCACUAGUGUAUCUAGGUUGUGAAUCACUGAGCAAGGCCAUAAUUUAUAAUUUAUAUAAACUAACCUACAUAACCUAUCUUGUUAGUAACUUGGGGACUGUCUGUAUAUAUAAAAACAUUCCUGCCCAUCACCAGUGUGUAUAAUCUCAGAAUCAUAGUUCAAUCCCCCAUCAUGCAGGAAAAUACAAUCAAAGUACUGCCAAUAGAUGGGCAUCCAACUAACAUCUUAAAGAUUUAAUUUUAUAAAUAAUUUUAAAAUACAUCCAACAAAAUCUAACAUUUCAGAGGAGGAACAGCACUGAAUCUGAACAGUCAUAUUUGCAAAAAAAAAUCCACUUUAAAAGAUGGCAUGACUUACUCCUUGAAAGAGAUGAGAAAAAUGUCAAAAAUGUAACCUUCCCGUGCCUUCUCAAAAUAUAUAGAUCCUACAUACUUGAAUGGCUUUGCACACAAAUAAAUCACUAUUUAUUAUGCCCAUUUGCAGUAUUACACUGAACAAGUUCUUAUAGAAUUAUGGCCUUUAUCAUAUGAUACAUAAAAAUAAGAUGUGGAGCUACUCCAUUGUUUAUGAAUCACAUCGCGCCAACACUAUCCAACCUUUAAAAUAUUUUUUCUAUGUCUUAAGAAGAAAAGUCUAUAAAGUCUAUGUGCUCCACUCACAUGUUAUAUGAUUCUAUCUUCAAGAAAGAUAAAUAUUUGUAUUCCUAUUGAGUGUCAGGGUUUUUAAAAUGAAACCAUCAUGCGCAAAGAAUUUCCUCAAGAAAUUAUGGCUCAGUUUGGAAAGUACGAGAGCCGCUUCCCAGUAUAAUCCAAAACUAAUUUUGCUGAGAUGUCACAGCAGUAAGAGUUAAAUCUUCAGUAAAUGUUUGCAGAAUUGGUCCACGUUUUUGCAUUUCAGUGCAAUCUAAACUUGCUUUUAUAGUGAACUGGUCCUAUGAACUUCAAUAGGAUUAAACUAUAUUAAGCCAAACUGAUUUAACUGGGCAAUUGCUUUAUCCUCUCAUUUCAUAAGGGCAUAUUGCUCUCGGCUUUUUAUAUUGAAGUUCUAUUUUUUUCCCAAUCUUGAUGUGGGCUCCAUUCUCCCUGACCUCAGCAAAGUCUGCAAGAUCUGACCAUAAUCGGUAGUCAAUAGCCUAAACACGUUCCAAGUGCAAAUUUGUCAUAAACAACAGCUUGUAUAUGCAGCUCAGCAAUACAGCUUGGCGCAGAGGCAAGCUUUUCCUUGGGGGCCCAUCUCGUUCUUCUUGUACCUCCAAUAGCCCUUCCUGCUGAUUUCAAAGGGGAUUUUUGUUUGCACCAAAUGUUCUGAUUUCAUGCUGAAACCACUUCUGUAAUUUCACAUUCCUGGUUCUGACAGAGAUUCAACUAUUUUUUGGCAAGAAAGAAAGAAAGGAAAAAGAAAAAAGGAAGCACAGUUAUUUCAUUGCAAGUCUGAAUUGCUGGCUACAUGGUGCAAGGAACAUAAAACAAACAAAAAAUACAGAUAAAGCCGCCUGUCAUAUGGCCGUAAAAUGAAAAUCAGUAUAGCCACAUGCUUGCAUUUUUAAAAGCAACAGUCCUGUAUUAAAUUGUAAUGUGUUGCCUACAAUUAUGGGAACAUAUUCAGAAGGAAGAUGCACAAAACUGGCUUGUCCAGUUGUAAAACCAAGCAAAACCACUCUUAUACAUCUACCAAAUUAAUUCAGUUAGAUGCAAAUAUUUAAAUGCAGAAACAAAAACCUUCUCUAUUACAAAAAAUAUGCAUGGCACUUCUCAUACUAUUUGUUCUAAUAUAGCCAUCCUUCUUCAAUAUUGCCAGCAAUAUACAAGUAAGAAUUGUUGAAAGGAACUUUAAAAAUGGCAACUGAAUGCAUAACGAUCGAAACAACCUUGAGUUGUGAAGCAGUCUCUGGUUAAGAGCUGUUUCUAACAACAGGAAUAUAUUUAAAGCUAAAAUACAAUAGGAACAAUAUUAUACAUCCAAUAUUCUUGAAUUCAGCAUGAAUUCCUAGCAUAAAGAGCUUUAUCAUAGGCUUUACCUGAAGCCUUGAUUAGCCAAAUGUUUUAUAAAUGAAAGACUUUCAGUUUUAAGGUAUGCACCUCAGACAUCAAUUUUGGGCAUGAAUACAACAAAUAGCUGCUUGGAAAUAUGUUUCACACAAAUACAUUUGUUGGAGAGUGAACAUUAACUGCAUCUCCAUAUUGAAUGCAUCCUUGAUUGUAACUUCCUGUUUAUUUGUAGUGUGUAAAAUAACUCCAAAAUUGCAUUGUGUUCUAAAUUCAACAGUCAUGUUGAUACAAUGGAAAAGCAGAGCUUUCUGGAAGGAGGGAUAUAGAAGGGUAAGAUAUUAGGGUGGUCCCUGAGGACAGACAUGUCAUCAAAAAUGCUACAGGAUGCAAUGAAAAUAUACACAGCUUAAGUUGGUGUGAUACAAUAGUGAGGUGGAUUGGUUUCCUAUGGAGUGCAGAGGUUAUUGUUCACCAAAAUCACGGCCCUGAAGGAACUCUAAAGGUGUUAUUUUCAUUAUUAUAUGGAAGGAUAAUCCAUUUUCUUUGAAUUUUGAACAAACAUUUCUGAUACAGAAAUGAAACAUAUUUUCAGAAUGUAUAGUGUACAUCUGAACCUUACCCUUAAUUAAAAUACAUAGGAGCCAUUCCAUUUAUAACCAUGCACAUUGUAGCUAUUGAUUAGAAGAACAAAUCCUACUAGAGAUGGCAACCCCCCCCCCCCCCCCAAGUUAAGCAUUUUUCUUUGCAGGGAUUUUUCAGAUUCCACCAAGACCUCCUUCCAAGAAAAUGUGAUUAUUAUUAUAAUGUUAUUGUACACUUCUCCUGAACGUAUUACAUAGGGUAAAUCCCAUUAAAAGUAUAUGUAUCAAUAUAAGUGAAGUUUUAGGAAGGUUCAUGAAAUUUUCAUUAGAACAUAUAGUCAGGAAAUUGUGUGUGUGUGUGUGUGUGUGUGUAUCAGGAGUGACUUGAGAAACUGCAAGCCAUUUCUGGUGUGAGAUAAUUGGCCACAUUGCCCAGGGGACGCCCAGAUGUUUUACCAUACUGUGGGAGGCUUCUCUCAUGUCCCCGCAUGAGAAGCUGGAGCUGACAGACAGGAGCUCACCCCACUCCCCGGAUUCAAACUGCCAACCUUUCGGUGAGCAAUCCUGCCAGCACAAGGGUUUAACCUAUUGGACCACUGCGGGCUCCUGUCAGGAAGUUAGGCAAGCACCUUAUUGUAUCUCUCUUAAAUACAGUAUGUAAAAAACAGAACAGAAAACUCUUUAGUUCAGUUGUGUAUCCAUGUUUCUUUAAGUCAAUGAUUGACUUAUUGGAACCCAUUUAAUUUUUCAUAGGGUUUUCUUGACAGAAUACUCAGAAGUGGUUUUGCUAGUCUUCCCCUGAAAUAUAGCCUACAGCACCUAGUAUUCAUUGAUUGGCCCUGAUUAGUUUCCAAGAUCAAACAAUCUGGUGCCUUUCAGUCCUAUGCCACCUAAUGUUUUAACCGUAAAAUGACACUAUCCACACACUAUCUCACUCUGACUGUUUUGUCUAACUGCUUUGUCAUUCAGUUUUUCAAUAUGUCACCUCUAACGCUUCUAAAUAAACCACCUGGAACAAGCAGAUAGUAAUAUUCUUGAUAUUCUUACAGAUGACGCAAACCACUGAUGAACGUAGGCAUUUUGGUAUUGCUUGGGUGUUUGGCUAUUAUAGCUUCACAGGAACAGGAAUGGGAACAAUAUGUAAUUAAUUCCUGUUAGGUAUUUAAUGGUGUGAUCUGAACAUAAUGUCCUCUGGAUCCAAUGUUUUCCUUGUACAGUAGCAGGAGUCCAUCAUUUCAUUCCGUUAUUCAGCAUUGAUAUAAAGCCAUCUCUAAAUGCAGUAGUUUUCAUACAGAAUUGUAAUAGUCAUAAAAAUGUCCAUAGCCUUUUUGAAGCAUUAUAAUCUGAAGACAGAAAUUUUCUCAUGUGAAAUGAGGUUAUUCUGUAGGACUGGAACAUGUUUCUGAUUUUUCUUGCCAUUACCAAUUUUAGUGGGUUCACCCAAUAUAGUAGCUAUCAAUGAUAUUGACCUGUAGAUUAAAAGGGCGUAAGUCAUUCUGUCUGUUCUUCUUCCCUUGGUAUUUGCUUGAGGAUAAUGGGACCAAUGAUAACAUGUCAUAAGUCAACAUUUGUCCCGAAUCACUGGAAUUUUGUUACUGUAAAUUGGAUUGCUUUGUUUGUGGAAUAUUUGUCUGACAUGCAAAAUCAAACAAAAUUAUUAUUUAAUUGUACUGCAACACUGAAGGGAAGGGAAUUAUCACAAAAUAUUUAGAGUAGCAGUUCAUAGAAAUCAAAUAGUGAUAAUGUUCAGAUUCACCAAGAUCUCAUUCUAUCAUUUUACAAGCAGUAGGGGGUAGAGGGCCUUCCUUUGGAUAAAUUUAUUUAUCCUACAAUAAAUAUAGGAUAAAAUUUUCUUUAUUAUGCUGUUCCCCAUAGUGUUUUAUUUAUGUCUGCUUGAAAUCUAUGGAGGAUUCAGUUUGGUUUGAUACCUUUAGAGAAUAAUAAAUCAAUGACUCCCUUUCCUCGUAGAUAGGUGUACAGCAAUAUGGUUUUCUUUUGUUGCUGGCCCUUCUGGUUCAUUCAGUUUUCUGUGGUAAGCAAUGUAUUUUCUAAUUAUCUCUGAAUCAUUGCUAAGAUGUUUAGAACAUCCUGAGAUAAUUUGUUGUAAGAUUUCCUGAAUUUCUGGAUAUCUAUGGGUAGCAUUUUCAAUGCACUAGAGACCAUUUUUUCUCGGUUAUUCCCAGCAAACAUCAACACUGACCAUUUAGGUCAGUCUGGAAUCAGAUCAGCCCAUCGGUAAAGGUUUUCCUCUGACAUUAAGUUUAGUCAUGUUCAACUCUGGAGGUUGGUGCUCAUCUCCAUUUCUAAGCCGAAGAGCUGGCGUUGUCUGUAGUUGCCUCCAAGAUCAUGUGGCCGGCGUGACUGCAUGGAGUGAGAUCAGCCCAUGGAUAGCCACAAAACACAUGGGGGCUAGUCCGUAUUAACAGAGAGAAAGCUUCUAAUGCAGCUGUAUCUCCAAUUAAUACAAAUCAAGGGAAAACCUGAAUCCUGCAUCCAGAUUCAGAUUCUCCCCUGAAUUAUGGCCAUCUAGACAGCUCCAGGCAAUGCCUAUGUGGAACCAGCUGCAGAUAUCCUGACAGCCAUCUGGCACUCAUCCUCAGGCUCAGGUGGCCAAGGGACAUGGGAUGGCUAUCCCAUACUGCUACUCCUCCUCCUUGCCUUACCUUGGUGCUUUGUCUUUCCCUUUCCAUGUCGAAUGACUCACAAAGGAGUAGUGGUAAGUCAUAGUGUCACUCCUGUAGCCAGCAGCAACCCUGCAGAAGGGAGUGGCAGUUGGGUUUCUGCCCAGUGGCUCUAACCUGGGUUCAGUGUGGUUGGUUCUGUAGGAGAGCCCUACUGUCUUUUUAUGUGAAAAUGUGAGAUAGUUUCUGAUCACAUUUGUUUCCUCUGAGCAUGAGUUUGCCUCAUGUUGUAUGUUUACAUGUGCGUACAAAGAACUCUAUUUCACCUUGGUAAAAAAUCAUUUUUCCUAAUUAGUGAGUGAAUUGAUUCAUAGAUGCCAUUAAAGAUGGUAGCAAAUAUUGUGUCAUGGUCAAUGCGUCAAUGCAUCAUAUAUCAAAAUAUCAUGGUUCUAUGGACAUAAGCAUUUCUUUUAUGUCUCUGGGGACAUUUAUCUUCUCCCUUUGAAACAUCUGAGGAGUUUUUGUGAUUCUAAAUAGAAAAGAAAUAGCUGAAAGGGUAUGUUAAAUCCAGUCAUUUUAGCAUUCUGGUUUGCCUGUAGUAUGGGCAAAGACCACUUGACUUACCUGACUUUGAAAAUACUUUGGAUCCUCAUAGCUUCUGGAGAAAGUCUAGUAGAGAAGUAUAAAAUUGUCUAGCUUUAUUGAGCUUUUUAUAAUUUACAGAGAUAAUUUUUCUUACAGACCAGGACUGUUACCCAACACAAAUCAGUUCAUGGAUAGCCAUAGUUAUGUAUUUUCACCCUUUCCACCACCAAUUUCAUUUGUGCAGUAAUAACAAGUAGACAUAUUUUCAUUGCGUGUUUUGAUGCCGUGUCUUAAAACAAUGGCUGCAUCAAUGCAGACCUGUAUCUCUAAACAUGUUUAUUCUCCACAUUCUUUUCAGAAGUCCCAUUUUUCUCAGUCCAUAUCUUUUUAAAGUAUCUAGCUAUGAUUAUAUAUCGCAAACAUCACAAAUACAAACCCCUUCUCUGUGGAUCUUAUUUAUGAAAUAAUGCAUCCAAGACAGUAUAGGAUAUCCCUUGAGAUUUUGCAGAUUUGAAGGAAGGGUUCUAGAAGUUUUUGUAGCUCCUCUUCGAAGUUAUGAUUGAAAGAAAAGCAUGGACCUUUUAAAUUUGAUGAUCUGUCAAUUCUGGGAUUUCUUUGUGUAGUACUCCUGCAGAAGUUUGAAGUGUGAUCCCCCAUUUCCCAUUUAAAGUGGCUGUCGGAACUGAUUCUAGAGUUUUUAGGGAGUAGAAGUUACUUUUUAAAAGUAACUUUCAAGUUGAUUGUAUCACUUGCUUUGUAUUGUGAAUAAUCUAAAAUGCUCUACAAAGAUAAGGUAGUAAAAUAGUUAAUAUGCAAAAUGACUAUUAUUAAGCAAAAUAUCAAUUAAAUUACAUUUUUCAAAAAAGAGGAAUAAAAUAUUUAUGUUUAAAUCUAAUUUAAAAUAGAAUUAAAUAUUUGCACUAAAUGUCUUAUCAUGAAGAUGAGAAAUCCUCUCGAUGCUUUCCUUCCAUACUCUACUUGUCCCCAUUUGAAGUUUUAGAUAGAAAAAAUAGUGCAUGAUUUCUCUUCCACACCACCAAAAUUUUUCUCCCUUAUAGUCUCAUCUCAUCUCAUCACCUUUUCUUUAGCUUAUUUGUUCCCAUAUGGAUCUCAAAAAUGUCUCAGGGUAAAGACUUUCAAAAUUCAAUUUCCUGUGACAGAUGAAGCACCGGUGUGUGAUAUCGAAUAUAGAAGACAUCAUCUUCCAGAAUGUCCAUGCUACUUGUUAGUUUAUAACCUUUUAACUUUAGAAUUAACUAAAGAAUCACAGAUUUAGUCAAUCAGAAAAUAAAAUAAAGGAUUUGGAUCUUAUGACCUACAUGAUUUAAUUCUCUAAUCUUGAUGAUGAACAAAAUAGCAGAAUUUCACAAAAAUUCAAAAGAAAUUGACUUUAGGAAAGAAUCAGAUGGGAGUAGUAAAAUUAGUUGGCUUUUGGCAUUCUCUGUAAUUUAAUUAAUAGCUUGCUUAAUACCUUAAUUCUGGAACCAAAUUAAUGCUGGAAUUUCUCCUUAAGUCAAUCACUUUUGUUAAAAAACUAAUUUGAUUAAAUUGAUCCUUUCAUUAGAAAAAAUCCAAUUUGAUUGAGAACGUAAUUGAUUUUAACCAGUUAAUUCCUUUCUUUGAACCCCUGCCACUUCCAUAGCAUUGGGAAAAGCUAAUUUCUUUGUUCACUACAUUCUUUCAGCUCUAUGUUUUGCCUAUAAUUCCAAGCGACAAUAUGUUCUUAAGAUAUUCCUUUGUUUUAAUGAUCAAGCUCACCGUAUUCACGCCAUAGUUUCUCCAGAUUAUGUGAAAGAAAUCUCUGUUCCUUGGACGGACGAAAUAGGGAGCAACGUUGGACAGUCUUAUAGUUGGGUUUACAGUCCUUUUCAGAAAAAGGCCAUUUGGCCUUCUCUCCCUACAGCAAAAAGGCAUAAACCUGCUCCAAACAUUUCUUCCCCUUGGUGUAGAUUUGUGAUUGGAUGAAAACAAGGAAAUUGUUCCAUUCAGGCCACAUUGCUGAAGGCUUUUGUUAUGAGGAAUGGUGCCAUUUUCUUCAGAACCUAUUGGAUUAAGCUUUGCUUUAUAAUGCCAAAUCAUAGGUUGCUUAGAAAAUACGCCAUAUCAGGAUGGUAGACAAACACCUAAUUAUUAUAUAUCUGAAACAAAGAUGAGAAAUGUGUUGUCGAAGGCUUUCAUGGCCAGAAUCACAGGGUUGUUGUGUGUUUUCUGGGCUGUAUGGCCAUGUUCCAGAAGUAUUCUCUCCUGAUGUUUCAUCCACAUCUAUGGCAGGCAUCCUCACAACCUCUGAGGAUGCCUGCCAUAGAUGUGGGUGAAAUGUCAGGAGAGAAUACUUCUGGAACAUGGCCAUACAGCCUGAAAAACACACAACAACCCAAAGAUGAGAAAAUUUGUUAGUUUCACUUUCUUCCCCACUCAGAUUUUUCUUUAAAAAUUGAGGUUACAUCUUCAGAGCUCUGAAGAAAUUUGUGAAUCUGUGUUGAUAGUAGGAUAGUUGCUUGCUAGCACAGAGAAUAUGAUAUUAUUAUUCUCUGGUAUAUAGCUGUGAAAACUAAAAACCUAGAAAGGCCAACCCCCUUUAAAAAAAUAUUGCUGCAACAUGAUUAAUUACUCAUUGAUUCCAGUCCACACGUUUGAGACUUAAGCACUCAAAAUGAUGCACAUGGCUGGAGUAACCUACUAUUUUUGUUUUUUUCCACGGCCUUUACUGUCAACUUCUUUCUAUAGAAAAUAUGAAAUCUAACAUUUUGGUAUAUAUCUCUCUAUAAAAGUCAAUGUAUGCCUAUCUGUCCAUUUGUACCAUGAAGGCUGUUGUUAGUUGAAGUGACCCUUUGUGAUGUUACUGGACUGGCUGUUGUUAAGUGAGGUGGCCCUCUGUGAUGUCCCUAUGAAAUAAAGGUGACAUAUUUAUGAGGAGAAGGGGGAAAGAAAGGAAAGAGCCACAAAGAGAGCCAUGUUGCCAUAGAGACAUUGUGAGGCAGGCCUUCUUAGGCCCCUUCCACACUACCUCUGUAUUCCAGGAUCUGAUCCCCGAUUAUCUGUUUAUCCUAGGUUAUUUGGCAGUGAUGACACAUAUAAUCCAGUUUAAAGAAGAUAAUCUAGGAUCAGAUUCUUGGAUAUAGGGCAGUGUGGAAGGGGCCUUAGAGCUGGAAAAGGGGGAAAGGGGAGAGGAAGGGAGGAAAGAAAUAAAGGCUGGGUCUACACUGUCCUAUAUCCCAGGAUCUGAUCCCAGAUUACCUGAUUUGAAUUAGAUUAUAGGAGUCUACACUGCCAGAUAAUCUGGGAUAAGCAGAUAAUCUGGGAUCAGAUUCUGGGAUAUAGGGCAGUGUAGAUUCCAGCCAAAGAGAAAAAGAAGGGAAGAGGAAAGAAGAUGAAAGGGAAGGGGAAGAAAUUAAAAGGAGGAAAGGAAUAAAAAAAGGAAAGGGGUAAGUUCUUAUUAAACAAACAAAUACUAUAAAAAACACCUCUCUCCACCAAGUGCCAGCUCGGACACUUCCACACAGCCAUAUAACCCAGAAUAUCAAGGCAGAAAAUCCCACAAUAUCUGCUUUGAAGUAGAUUAUCUGAGUCCACACAGUCAUAUAUUCCAGUUCAAAGCAGAAAAUGUGGGAUUUUAUUCAGCUGUGUGUAAGGAGCCCCAGUGACUAAACUCUGUCACAAGAGUAACUAACCAUGUAUAACCCCCAUAUCCAUGAGGGAUACAUUCCAAGAUCCCCUGUGGAUACUUGAAACUGUGGAUAGUCAUGAACCAUAUAUUUUAACUAUACUUGGGUUGGAAGCAUUCCACUGAAUAGCACUGGAGGGACAAGAAAUGUCCACAAACACUUCUGCCUGGGGCCAUUCCAGGCUCUGCAAUACUUUUCUAUGACAUGCUUGAAAGAAUACCAUAGACUCACACUAGAAGACCUAUAUCUGGAAAGAAUUUUUUUUGGAGCUUUAGUAAGUGAAACUGUGGAUAUUGAGUUUAUGAAUAAGAGUAUUUACUGUACUUAUAUCCAAAUAUAGUCUUCAUUCCAAUUGGAGUCAGGAAGGAAUGGGAAAUUUAUUUCCCUCUACAUGUUUUGGGGCUAGAAAUCACAUCAACCCUAAUCACUCACCUUCCAACAUCUCAGAGAAGACCUGAGGUUGACUUUCUGUGGUCAGAGCAUUUUAAUGAAAGAUUUCAUUGGAAAAGAGAGCUUUGGGAUGGUGCCUGAAUGGGUCAAGGGAGUGGGAGGACACCUCUCUGUGUUGGUGUAUUGGGAAUUUUGAUUAUUAAAGGUAAUAAAAAGAGAUGGAGCAGAAUCAGUUAAGGGAGGUUUUUUGCCUGCCUAACAGUAACAGCAAAGGUCAGGGAAAGGUAUAUAUUGGGAUAUGAAAGGAGAUAAAAUGGGGGAAAGGUCAUGGAGGCUGAGAGCUGAGCAAGGAAAUUGCUUUGCGCAUCAGGAAUUGAGUUGUUAGAAAAACCAAUUAAAGAAGACUAUGUGGGUGGGCAUGGAAUUACACACACACAAAGAGAGGGAGAGAAUGAAUAUAGAUAGUAGCUUAAACUCUCUGUGUAAAACUUUGAUUAUAUGCUCAUGUUCCAAUAAAAUGAAAACAUAUAUGUUAAUCAUAAAUUUCACUUCUAAUUUAACUACAGAGCACUGGAAUUGGGUUGUGGAGCUAUAGCACGAUUCCACAAUAGAGAAGUCAAAUUUCAAAAGGGAAGAAUGCAGCUGACUACCAGUAAGUGGGCACAAUCCAGCAGUCAAAUUUUCUCCACAAGAAAACCUAUUUUCCCCACAGCUUAAAAGUGGAGAACAGGGGUAGUCAAACUGCUUGAAAAUGUAUAGCAGGGAACACUCCUAUAUGGGAAGUAAGAGCUAAUUCUGGAGGCUUUUCCCAUACAAUGUUGUAUAAUGUCUUCGCAUGAGAUCAAAAUGACUCUCCACUAUUUCAGAUAUUUUGUGCCAUUACAUAGAGAAAGGGGGAGAGGGAGAGAAAGGGAGGGUCCAUACUGGGCUUUCUAAAGAAAACAAUAUUUCAAAAGGAAUAUAUUUCAGGCACACUGUGAAAAACCAUUUCUACCUUUUGUUUGCUACGUCUGGUCCCAAAACUAAUUGUCAGCCAGUGUUUCUUUUAUUUCCUUCCAUAUUAAUUUAUUUCUCAGUGUUUCCCUAGAUCUAAAAAGCAUGUAAUGUACAUUCUGGAAGCAGUGAUCUAAUAUGAGUAUUGAAGGAUUUUAGCUGCAUUUCCUCUGGUAUUAAAAAAGAUGCUGAUUCAUGUUCUCUGCUGGUAAUUUUAGCUAUCCUUUUACUGAGAUAGAGAAAAAGAUUAUAGAAUGUUUUGUUUUACCCUGAAGGCUAAAUCAGCCCUAUGGAAGUCAUUAAAAUGUAAAACAAUUACUAUUGGAGGAGGGAAUGGAAAUGUCUACUGGGAAAGAGAAUAAUAUAUAGAAUAAAAUGAAAUGUAAAUCUAUGGUCCAUUCUUAAAAUCCGCAGAGGGAAAAGUACAUCAUGCAUAUCUUGCAUGAAUGUUUGCACUGAAAAACAGAGAAAACAGUGAUUCAUGCGACAUUACCAGCAAACAGUGAUCUACAAAGCUUCAUUUGAAAAAAAGUCUUCACGGAAAAUGUAUAUAUCAAAAAUGUAUUACUGAUAACAGGAAGAUGAUGGGAGAGUGGGUUUUUUAAAUAGUUAAAUGGAACUAUAGAAGCACACUGUAGCUUGCUUAUGCCCCACUAAUGCAUCAUAUUUUGGAGUCUAAACUGGUAAAACAGCCUAAUUAUACUUUAAAAGGAAAAUGAAUUAUCUUGGAAUUAUAGUGAGCACAUGUAACAGCAAUGUGAUAUUUGGAACAAGCCUCUUUGGAUCUAAAAUUAUACAGUUUCACACCUGCUGUGUUAUUCAGGUGUUAUUCAAGUGGAUCCAACCUAUUAAGAUGAAAUGACAUGGUCAAAGUGACAUUUGUUACAGUUUGAAUAGAAAUGCACAUUCAUCAUCCCUUGAAGAGAAUACUUGUUGCUCUUGAAGGGUGCAGGCAGACUAAUUCACAAUUCUAUCAGGCAACUCUAUGCUUUAGAAACUCCUUUAGAAAUUAGAAAUAUCAAAUGUGUCUGAUUGAGCUGUGUAUUGAAUUUCACCUCACUCCACACUGUAAAGGCAUCACAAUAUAUUCACAACUUGGAUGACACGACUUUCUCUUGAGGGACAGAUUAAAUAGCCAAUUCACACUACUGGUAGGUCUUUGGAAGCAAAUUGACAGUGAUAUGUGUUGUCGAAGAUUUUCAUGGCUAGAAUCACAGGCUUGUUGUGUGUUCUCCUAAGGAAAGAAUGCUUCUGGAACAUGGUCAUACAGCCUGGAAAACACACAACAACCCUGAGAGUGAUAUGUUCUCAAUGUAAAAUGUAAGUGAGGUGGGAACAAAGAAAUAUUUAUAUGAAAUGCAGAAUGGAUCACUUAAAAAAACCCUUGCAAGUGAAUCUCCAAACAUAUGUUCUUAUCUAAUAUUAAUUCAUUUCAUCAACGCCUCUGGGUCAAGACAAAAAUCAAUCUGAAGCACAGAAAUGGCCAGUAGCCGAUCAGGAGGCCAUACAUGUUCUAAAGAAUAAUACCCAAUAUACUGGAAAGGUAGCUGUUUCGUUUAAAAGCCAUUGUUUGGGGGGAAACCAAAAUCUAUUAGAAUUCUUUUUAAAAUUUUGUUUUGAGAUUUCUUAAUUUGGAUUUAGAAACUUUUAUGUCAUUUUGUGACAAAAGAUAAGUGUUAGCUAUUCACCUGGAGUAAGGUGAACUAUGAACUAUGCUGUCAUCCUGUUAUACAUUUCUUUUAGUUAGAGAAUCUUAUUUGAUAAAAGUUUGAUGACUGACCCGUUAAAACUUGUUAAACUCAUUAAAACUCAACCUAGCCCCGACACAUUCCAUCUUUAGUUAAAAGCUCUAUGAAAUAGGAAGGUCUUUCUAAUUUAUAAUGUCCCUCGAACAUGGGGUGGUGUUUAUUCUUUUUUCCUCUUUUUUUGGAAAUGCUCCAAACAAAGGAGAGGAAAGCAACUUGUCCCUAACCAGAGAGAAGUAGAGAGAUCCCUUUCUCCAUUUAAGGCUACAACCAGUAUAUUUCUUAACUUCAAGGAGGUGUAGAACCGAAACAGACAAUCAGUGGCCUCACAUAAUUGGGAUCAGUUGGUGGCCUUAAAACCAUCAGUGUGUACAUAAGAGACUAAAUUUUGAAUGUGGCUCUGCAUUCAGAAGUCAUGGUUCUUAGUACAUACAGCAGAGAGAAGGUUUAAUUAGUACCCUUUUCCUGGAAUGGUAUAAUGCAUGUCCCUUGCUGGAUGUCUAUUUCUUCAGCGAUUCCCUGAGACAUUUUGCUGCUAAGGCAGAGCAUCAAAUCCCGCUCCCUCCCUCCCCCAAUCCAAUGGGUAAUUCAGCCAUGCCAGUGCUGGUCAGGUCCCAUAGGUCAGAAUCCUGUGGGUGCACCACAUCAGUGUAAACCCGUUGGUGAAGCUGACAGUCUCAGGAGAGAAAAGGUCAUGGGCACAGCAGACAUGCAAGGAGGAAGGCACUGGAGAAACAGGCUGCUCAGAAGCAACAUCUACGGCUCCUGAGAGGCCUGCUUAUUUUUUUUUAAAGUCCAGACCAUUUGAGCCUAUGUAUAUAUUUCAAUUGACUUCAUCAGGGGUUCCAUAAAAACAAAUAGAAAUGUAAAAUUAAAUAUCUAAAGGACAAGACAUAAUUAUAGAAUAACAUCUCCAUAAAAUAUCAUGAUAUGCUUUAAUUUCCCCCCUUUGCUUAAAGCCUAUACAUACCAAUAUGUAAUCUAACAGCAGAAAUUUCUGGAGCUGAAAAUUGUAUUCCCUUUACUAGAUUGAAAAGAAAAUGGAGAACCAGGCUCAAUGCUAUGAAUAGGCUGAAACAUAUUGGACUUUCUGCAAAAUAAAAAUAAAGGUAAUGUAUUAGAGAACUUGGAGACAUGUUUUCCCGCUUACCCCUGUGGUUUUUGUUUGUUAGUGCUCUCCAAUAUCUGCAUUAUCUCCUGUGUUGACCAAAGAUUUGGUAUUAUGCUAUUUUGGGCAGUGGCACCAGCAGCUCCAUGACUAGGAAAAAACGUCCAGUUUUGUUGUUGGUUCAUUUAUGGAACCAGUCAUUUUCCAAAGUUUUCAUUUUGUUUUGUUCUACAUUUAUUUGGGGUCUGUGGGAAGGAUCUAAGAUACUUAUUUUCCUUAAUACUAUUUUACACACCUGGGCAGGCAACAGUCACCCUAGCUGAGUUGAUCACACUUAAUAUAUAGAUUUCUAAGGCCUUACAAAAAAAUAAGGUGCCACAGUGGCGCAAUGAGUUAAACCCUUACGCCAGUUGAACUGCUAACCUGAAGGUUGCCAGUUCAAAUCCACAAGAUGGGGUGAGCUCUUGCCUGUUAGUUCUAGCUUGCAGGGACAUGAAAGAAGCCUCCUAGCAGGAUGGUAACACAUCCGGGUGUCCCCUGGGCAAUGACUCUGUAGACAGCCAAUUCUCUCACACCAGAAGCGACUUGCAGUUCUCAAGUUGCUUGUGACACAAUAAAAAACAAAACAAAAAUAAUUUUGGUCAUUACUCAAUUUCAGAAAAAAACAUAGCUUACUGAUUGAGCGUAUGCUUUGAAUGCAGAAUGUAUCUGUUCAGUCCUAUGUAGAGCUGUAGAGAUUCUUGCCUGACAUAUGAACGAGCCACUAAUAAUCCAUGUAGGCAAACAUAGACCAGUGAUUCAAUGUGAUAGAAGGCAGCUUCCAACUUUGCUAGUAUACCCAAACUUCAUAGCAAAGAGUACAAUAAUGGGCAGCAAAAUAAAGGGAACCAAUGAAAGAUUGCAACUAGUAGUUUUUAUACAAAAAUAAAUAUUUGCUUUAGGUCUAUCCCAUUAAACCAGUAAUAGAGAUUUUCUUUUUCUAGCACAAGAGAUUGAAAUGAUAUUCAAAAACAUUCAGAAAAUGGUUGAAAAACACAAUUUUAUUUUAAUGUUAUUAGUAUCAAGAAACCCUAAAGUGAAGAUCCUGGACUGCUAAUAAAAUGUAUGGUCCAGAUCUUCUACACAAAAUUCACUUGUGGUUAUGUUGGUCACAAAACAUAUUUUUCUGUGCAAGAAACAGCUUUUAUUGCAUCGAAAAUACAUUUUUCUGCAGAAAUAUUAUCUUCUCCAGAGAAAAUGCUGCUUUAUGUGUAGAAAAUGUUUUUUUCUGGAUAAAACAAUCCACUGUGAUUUUUUUUUCACAGAAUAAGCCUUAAAUUGUGAUUUGGCUUUGAGAACUGCCUAGAUUUAGAAGACUUUCUAGCAGCAAGAAGAAAAUUGUUAAAAUUACCUAUUGCUUCCUGUAAGAAGAGAAUUAACCGACAACUAAAAGUCUUUAAAAGAAAACAGACUCCAAAAUAUGGGUUCCUUGCUCAUGAAACAUUUCAUCCCCUUGAGCAAUGUUUAUUGUUAAUUUUUCAUCUUUUCCUUCCCUUUGUUUAUGCUUGUUCCCUUUUUGUGUUAUUAGUGAGACUGUAUUAAGUAUGUUAAUGCUGUAAACAUCCAGUGUACUUCUACCAUUUAAAAGCAAGGUAACAAAAUGUUCUAUUCCAAAUUAAGACAAAUAAGAAGAGAAUUAGUAAAGAUGUAUUAUUCCAGAAAAGAUGGCUUAAGUAUGGUGGUGCUAGGAACAUUUGACAGGUUUGUUUUUGUUUUGUUUUUUUUGUAGAUUUGCUACACAUGUUUUCUCUGUUUUCAUACAUCAGUCCUUGCCCGUGCUACCCACUCCUCCAGCUUCAGAUUCAAAUAUACCAUGAAUUUAGAGCUAUCCACCCAAAGAAAUGUUAGACAUUGUAUAAAAGUGCAAGAAUUUAAAUUAUAUGAUAUCAGUUUCAUAGUAAUAAUAUCAUUCUAUGUCUCCUCUCUUUUCCUCUCAUUUUCUCACUGUAAAAUAACACACACUUUCACAAAAUUCUUGUUUUAAAGCAAUAAUUGAUAUCAUGCAAUUUGGUUAAACAUAACAUUGUUUCUGUUGUUUGCAAAUUGUGUGUGUUCUUGGCUGUUCAAGCAUGAAAAAUGCCAGCAUGGAGGGAUAGUGGAAAGACUAAACUUUAAUGCACCAAGAGGAGGAAAAAUCGAUUGCAGUGUUCAAAGAGAUCUCUACUGGUGAAGAAUAUUAAAGACCUUUGGCCACUUUUGCAAUGAUUCUUAUGAUCUAGAGCCUGGGGGUGGGAGAAUCAAGUAGCCCCUGAAUGUUCAAAUGAGAAAGGGGGAGAAAAGGAAAAUAAUAUUUUAUGCCUAAUUUACAGCAUAUAGGCAGCAAAACCAACAAAGUUACCAGCAAUUGUGCUAAACGUAAAUUUGAGUUGCCUUUCCUAACUUCAAAAACUUGAAUUUGUGAGUGCGGCGCAGCUCAGAAGGAUGGGAGGCAGGGAGAGAAUAUAAUUUUAAUAGAUAUUCACUAUAAAAUGAAAAUGGCUAAUUUGGCUUUGUAUCUGCUCUAGCGAGUACAGUAACAUUAACAGUUUCAUCCUCAUCCAAGCUUACUGCUGCUGCGUAAAAGCCAAGUUCAAUAUUUGUUUGAGUUAGCACACGGGGGAAAGGAAGCUUCAAUUCUCUGAAUAAUUUGGCUUGGGCUAUGUAACUAGUUCUGAUAAAUCCCGAAUUCCAUUAAAUGAACUAUGCUGAUAUGGAUCCAUUUAGACCAGUGGUUCUCAACCUGUGGGUCCCCAGGUGUUUUGGCCUACAAUUCCCAGAAAUCCCAGCCAGUUUACCAGCUGUUAGGAUUUCUGGGAGUUUAAGGCCAAAGCAUCUGGAGACCCACAGGUUUGAGAACCACUGAUUUAGACCAUGGCCAAAGUGAAUCAGAUCAUUUUAAUUCACACCUAACAUGGACUGGCCCAGCCUGAAGUGACUAGGAUAAAUUCAGACCAAUCUGCAAGAGAUGGAAACAGACAAUGUAUCUCCUACUGCACCAUAUAAGGCAAAUGCCAUGGCAGGGUAAUUAACUGACUGGCUUUUCCAUAGUGGCACUUCUAGUUUCCAGUCUGGAGCCGGAAUUACACCAAUACACUCCAAUCACAGUGUUUGAUAGGCAGAUAUGGCAUGAUAUCAUUGGAAUGUAUAGAUUCAGUUUACUCUGCAAGUUUGUUUUGUUGUAUUAGAUUUAGCUGGCAGCAGCAAAUCUUUGACUUUUCCCCUCCCAGUACCUAACCCAUUGCAUUUUGAUGUGCUAUUUUAUAACUUCUGGACAUUAAUAAUUGGUGUUUAAUGGAUAUAAAUAAAUCAGGCUCUAAAUUAGCCCUAGUCGUGGCCUAAGGCUAUUAUAAGUCCUACACAUAUUCAGCAGUACAUUUUAGCCCCAAUCCUCUUGAGGACAAAAGGUUUAUCAUUUCUGACCUAGUUGUUGCUUGCUGUCUUCUUAAGCUAGAUUCACACCAGCAAAAUAAUUAGUCUUUACCUCGAUGCUGGUGCUGUUGGAACACAUGACAUUCCUCCCUUUUCAGAAUGAAAGCACUUAUUUUAAAUGCCUGAAGGCUUUAACAUGAUUUAUUAUUUUAUUACAUUUUGUUACAGAAGUCUCCCACUGGGGCAGGAGAGGUGUAAGAGUAUCAGAUGGGGGGAUGAAUAAAUAAGUGUGCACUUCCCUGAUCUGUCACUGACUCUCUCACUGGGACAGGAGGGGUGAAAGGAGAGCAGAUUAUGUUUAUGUAUGAUCACUUAAAUUUACAAUCAAUGGUUAGGAGGUAGAUCUGGUCCGUAUCUAUAGUGAUUUCACUGGAUUUGCCAAAGCCACUGCCAUAGUAGCAGCUGCCAGCAGCCCCUUCCCACUCCCUUCUACUACUACCACCAUCACACCAUCCUGCAUGCCCAGCCCUGCUCUUUUCUCAUCACCCCUCCUAUCCUGCUCCUUCUGUCCAUCACAGAGUUGCAUACAAAUGGAAUCACCAAUCAAUGAUAGUGCAAGGCGGGUGGUAAGAUUGACAAUAAAAUAAGAGAUUCCCAUUGGUUAAUAGGUUUAUGCAUGCUGGGGAGCGGGGGACUGGCAGCUGUAGUGAACACAUGAGGCGGCUCUACACUGACUCUUUAAUCCAUGGCUGAACCAAAGUGGCCAAAAGUCUGGAAUUGUUUUUGACUGGCAGACCCUUGGAUGCAGAGAUGGGAGGGAAUCCUGAUCAUCCAAUGGCACUGAACCACCCUUACCAUCACCUUCCCAUUCUCAUCAUUGUCAUAGUGAGCAUGCACAACAUGGCUAGCGUCAGUCCCUUGUGACCUGGAGUGAUGUUGUCUGGGGAGCCAGAGCAAUGUUGGAGGGGAAAGGAAGAGAGGAGGAAUUCCCCCUCCUUUCCCCCUUCUUUCCUCCUCCCUUCCCCAAUUGCUUCAAACUAGCAUCACUCCAGGUAACAAAUAUCCAACACUGGCCAUGCCAUGCCCAUGGCUGUGUGAACAAUUAAAGGACUGUUGUGUCUCCGAACCAGACCAAAUGUUUACUUACACAGACCCAAAGUCAUAGUUUGCUCUGGAUUCUCAGGGGAAAUUUGGAGCAACCCACAACUUUUGUUAGCAUGGUUUAAGACACCGUUGAGUGGCCUUAGUUUAUGUUAAACAGAAUCAGCUCUAUAUAUGUUGUGUAGCUGCCAUAGAGCUGAUUCCUCUCUGCCCAAAUUGGGAUAAUGGGUCAAUGUGGAUGUUUCCACAGAUAUGAUAGGACACUCCCUUUUGCCCCAUUGUUCCUUUGGGUGGGAAAACUGUGGCUUUCAAUGCAUGUUCAUUCUGUAUUAUAAAGGUAGGUGGGAAGGGGGAUAUGAUGCAAAAAGGGAUCAAACGAGGGCAGGAUAUUCCAUAUUGGAGUUGAAUUAUUUUUCUGGUGUGUAUCAGCCGUAGUUGUGGAUGCCAUAUAAAAUGUCUGUCUCGGUUUUAGCCUAGUCUGUGUUUAUUUCAUGAUUAUGCAGAAUAAAAUCUCACCAUGUUAUUUUAGGUACUGCUCAAUGAUAUCUAUAUGUAUAGUCUACUUGAAUUUUCUGGAAAUAUUAUGUUUCUAGAAAAAGAUACACAUUUGGAAAUUUAAAUACAUGAAAUAAUUAUUUUCAUAUCAAACUUAUUUCACUGCUAUAGCAACACACAUUUUAUAUAUGUAGUAAACAAUAAACAUAUAAAAUUAUAAUAUGGGGAUAAUUAUGCUAUUUAAAAGUAUUAACGCCCUAAUUUUCUACAACUAUGAAAAUAUCCUGUAUUAAUAAGAAAUUCAGUUGGUUACAUCUGCAUUAACCAAGUGGAUGUAUCUUAGAUUUUUGACAUCUGAGGAGAAGAGGAAGCACCCAUUAGACAUUUGCACAAAUAUGUUUUUAAAUAUUAUUUGCACUGAAACAAUCAAUGUCUUCAAGACUGAACUAGCAGCAGAGAUAUAUGGUAGAAAAAUGCUGCUAGUUUAGUUCUUUUUGUGCAAUUUAUUGAUUGAUUUUAAACAAUGUCUAAUUCAGAAUAAGACAAUGAAGUCAGAAAAUGAAAGGAGAGAAAAGAAAGAAAUUGGGGGGGGGGGUGUCACAAUCCAUAAAACUAAAACCCUGUAGGGUUCUAUACAGAGGGUUCAAGUUAGUAUUUUCAUCUUGGAAGACAUCUGUUAUAUAUGUUUAAAGUUUCUCCUAUCCAGAAAAUGGGAAACUAACAGAAAAGACUGGGGUGGGGAGAGCAAUUGUACUACUAUAUUUACAUUGAGCAAAAUAUGUAGUACCUGCAAUACAAUUAUAAAAGAAAACAAAUAAAAACAUUUUAAAAAGAAAGAAGAAAAAGAGAGAGAAAAGCGGACAAAAUACAUAAAUUGACAAAUUGUCAAUAUAGAGCUCUGACAAACUGUAAUGGAAAGAGGAAUAAAACACGAAACAUGUUUCUACCUUUACAGCCCCAGCUAAAUACUAUGAAUCAAAUAAUAAUCAUAACUUUUUAAAAAAUGAUUAGCUUGUCAUCUAGAAAUUUAGAUUUAAAAUUUAAGACAAUAUUGAAUAUAUUAAACUCUUUGAUAAUACAUUCUCACUACUGAGUAUAGCCUAUAUCCAGUAUGAUGUUAUGAUGGUAAAACCCACAAUGUUCAGAAAUGCAUCUUGCCUUUCAUAUGUUGCAUGCAGGCACAGGAAUUAGUCUCUAAUUAUUUGGAUUACCCUACAUUGAAAACAUAUUUCUACAACCUUGUUUUUAAAAUAAUUUCCCUGAUUAUAAAAGAAAAAAAUACUUCACCAAAUAUCCAAUUUCACCUAAGAACAAAAAUGACGGGUGGAAACAGUGGGGUGAUUCCCCCUUCUAAAUAUUUCCAAGCCUUUUCAGGGCCUCCAUAACUUACUACUAAAUUGCUCCUUCACCAUUCCUUUAUAAAUAAACAAGGCAAAACCUUUAAAAAAAACAGUGCAGGGUAAGCAUGAAUAAUUAGCAAAAUUAUGCAAAUGUUUUGUUAUGCAGCAUCCAUAUUUAUUUCUUUGAAAUAUUAAUAGCCACUAAUGACCCCAUGUUCUCAAGGUGGCUUACAAAAUACCUAAAAUAAAAUGAAAGUGAGAGUCAGAAAUUUAGAGUCCCUGGUCGAAUGGAUUGUUUUCCAUGCUGAAUUCUUGCAUCAGAUGAAAGAAGCUUCAGUGGUGGGUUGCAGCUUUAGAACCCUCCCUUUGGUCUUCAGAUGUUCCAAAUUUUAGCUUACUGCUCCAUAGAGAUGGAAAUUCAGUUUUGUCCCCCCACACAUGCCCAAAAUUUGGAGAACUUUGUGAAGGUUUGCACAAUUGUUAAAAAUAUAUUGAAAGUAAAUCCUCAGACACCUGAACUAAAGAAAUUCAGUCUCAGCUAUGCCCUGCACGGUGAAGAGAAAGCUGAACAUUUAUACUAUGUACCUAUUAAAAUGAGGAACAUCUCAAGAAAAAAUAGACAUAGAAAUCCCAAUCGCUGCAUAUAAUUUUGUAAAUUUUAUCCAUUUCUCAUAACCAAUUGAAAUAAAAUUUUCACCCAUCCCUACCACUUAAUCUUCAUGCCAUAGCUGGGAAUAGCUAAAGUUGCCAGAUGUUAAACAAGAUCUGAUUAGGUACUUACAAUGGUGGAAGAAGGACCCUCAGAAGAACAAGGACGAGAUGCUUUCUCUCCUCAUUCAAUGACUACAAUAAGGUAUUAUCCUCUGUCUCGUCUCCUUUUGUGCCAUCAAAAACCUUUCUAUCCUGGUAGAUAUUUCAUCCCUCCAAAAGAGAAAAGGAAGUUCUGGAAUGAGGACUGCAUUUAUUGUGCAUAUUGUAGGGGAAUGAGGUCUUCCGGAAUUGACAUUCCACCAACAGUUAAUGGGUUCUUGUUUCAGAUUAUUUUCUGUCUUUGCUACUAAUUUUUCUACCAAUUUUUGGCUGCCUACAUUAACGUGGGCCACCAGGUAGGAAAGAGUACCAGAGAGAUGGUAAUAUCUUUCAACAGUUAUUUGCUCAACUCUGAAAGGCUGCAUAACCUAUUCAUUACAAUUAUGUUUGACCCAAUGAGGCAUGUUUCAGGAUUUGGAUUACUUUAACAUAGAAAUGUAUUUAUUGCUCUAGUCAUAUAUUGCACUUUGGGCUUCGCCUAUUCACUCCUGUUUCAUAGGAAUUGUUUUUCCCAUGAAGAUGUAAACAGUUGUUGUUUUGAUCAUGGGUAGGGGACCCCAACAUCCUUAUUAAGGCAAUACAAUUAUUUAGGCCAAUUGAAAGAUCAUAAGACACUGUUGCAAUAUUUUGAGUUCUUUAGAACUCUUUAUUAGGCAAGAUGGUUAAAUAAACAAAGAAGAUGUAUUAGUAACUGUAGGGUGGUGUUGAAGUCAUACAGACUGCAAAGGAAGAUUCAAGUGAUAAGUUCUAAACUAGAUGAAAUUUGGAGGUGUCCUUUCCAAAUGAAACCAUGUGUGAUAUCAAAUGUGAGAAAUGAAACUUAGCACGUUUCAACAUAGACAUGUGAUGGAGAGAAGAGAGUCAUCAGAGUAAUUCAAGCCAUAUGGCUUCCACCCACCUAUCCACUUAACUGCAGUUAUGUAGUCUUUCAUUCUUCAACAGUGACUUUCCUAUGCAAAUAAAUUCCAUCAAAUAUGAUAGUCUCUGGGGCUUACUUUGCUACCUGAUUUCAUGCCACUCACUUCUAAAUUAGGCCAUGCAUAAAUUAACUACUCUUAAAUGCAUGGUUGGUUGUGGCUAUUAAUUCCAAAAUAUUAUCUCACAUCAAGGUACAUCUUUAAUAGUUGAAGAGUCCAUAUAUACUGUUGUGAAAAUGGCAGAGGCAGAAAUGAUUUGAAGAUGGAGAUGAUUACAUGGGAAGCCCUGGAACUGUCUGAAUUUAUCUCUAACUAUGAACCAUCUUGGAGAUUAAGAUCGUCCAGGGAGACCCUGCUCUGGAUCCCACCUCCUUCGCAGGCAUAACUGGUGAGGACGAGAGACAGGGCCUUCUUGGUGGUGGCUUCUUGGCAAUGAACUCCCUCCCUAGGGAUAUUAGAAGAGCCCCCUCCCUUCUGACCUUCCAAAAGAGAAUACAAAUGUGGUUUUAGGAUCAAGCCUUCAGAGAAUAAUUAUGUGCAAUGACUAUUGGAAUGGCCCAGAUUAUGAUUGCGGAUAGUGUGAUUAAUAGUGAAAGUAAUGUUUUUACAUUUUUAAUGUGUUUUAAAUUCUAUUUAAUAUGUUUAAUUGUACAUUGUUUUUAAGGUAUCAAAUAGUUGCCUAUGUGUAAAGCCGCAUUGAGUCCCCUUUGGGGUUGAGAAAGGCAGGGUAUAAAUAUGGCAAAUAUAUAAAAUAAAAUAAAUUUGAGGACUUGAUGGUGCUUAUAUGCACCACAGAGGUUGGCUUCAAUGCAUUUUCAGGAUACACAGUAUCUGUGGCUAUGUCUAUGAAGGAUUCAGGGUUUUAUUUUUGUUUUUUCAUCUCCCUCCCCACUUUAGUGCACAUGUAUGGAUUACUGGUGCACCCAUCAUUUAAUUGGUUUUGCCAUGCAAUGUGGUUAAGACCUAGCUGUGCUGAUGUACCUUACGGGCUCUUGUUUGGAGUAUCCCUGAUUUUGCCAGUUUUGGCUUUAAAGCCUUUGAUGUGUGCUCCUGGGUGUGUUCACACUAUGUGUCAUUUCAACACUACAUUCUCAAGCAACCUUCAAACCACAUUAAGUGGCCAGUGUACAUGUGCCCAGAAAAAUAUCACACUAUCUAGUAAUGCAAUAUGGGUAAAUGUUUACUAGAAAAAGAAAGACCGACAUUCAAAUCCACACUGAACUAUGAAACUCAUUGGGUGACUUUGGGCCUUUAUACACUGACCAUUUAAGUUGGUUUGGAACUGGUUUGGCUGAAACCUAGAGAUGUGCUCCUUGAGUCUGUCACACUGUCUCUCAGUCUUGCCUACCUCUGAUGGUAUUUGUGGGGAUAAAAUGGCAAGAGAUAUAUAAUUAUAUUAUAAACACUUUUGCUAAAUAAGAUAGUAUUUAGCAAAAGUACCAUCCUCCAGAACCUCCAGGCCAUCUUCUCCUCCAUCCCAGUGGCCUUUUUUCUUUUCUCUUUGCAGAUUCAUAUGUUAUUUGAGUGAUUAUAUUCCUUCUGCUUAUGUGAUUGUUUUAGUCAAUUGUUAUGUUUUGUUUUUGUUUUUAAUUCUUAUAGCGUUUUAUAGUGUUUUCAGUGUUUUAUUGUACAAUGUUUUAUGCUGAUUUUAUAUUGGAAACCGCCCUGAGUCCCUUUCGGGAGAGAGGGCGGUAUACAAAUAAACUUUUACUUACUUACUUACUAUUGGAGGAUAAAAUGAGAGGAAUGUGUGCUAUUUUUGUUGUGUCCCUUCAAGCCAUUUCCAAGUUAUGGUGAUCCUAAGGUGAUACCAUCAUGGAGUUUUCUCAGCAGGAUUUUGAAAUGGAAAGAAUUGCCUUCCUCUGAGUUUGAGAGAGUGCGACUUGCAAAAGCUCACGCAGGGGGUAUCUAUGGCCAAGCAUUAAUUUUAACCCCGAUCUACAGAGUUCUAGACAAACACUGAACUUUGGUUUCCAUAGACAUUCUUCUUUAAACCAAAGCCCAGUGUAUAUUUGAUGGCUACCUUGCCUGUUCCAUUCAUUUCUCAUUUUGUUAGAAACAAAUCCCCCUUUUUAAGAGAUCUAUGCUGUGCCUAUCACAUUUAGUCUGGGGUGAUGAAACUGUCUAUAGGUAAAGGGUAAGAUUUUUCCCUGACAUGAAGUCUAGUCGUGUCCGACUCUGGGAGGUGGUGCUCAUCUCAAUUUCUAAGCCAAAGAGAUGGUGUUGUCCAUAAACACCUCCAAGGUCAUGUGGCUGGCAUGACUGCAUGGAGUGCCAUUACCUUCCCGUCGGAGUAGUAUCUAUUGAGCUACUCAUAUUUGCAUGUUUUUGAACUGUUAGGUUGGCAGAAGCUGGAGCUAACAGUGGGAGCUCACCCCACUCCUCAGAUUUGAACUGCCGACCUUUUGGUCAGCAAGUUCAGCAGCUCAGCGGUUUAACACACUGCAUCAUCGGGGCUCCAUGAAACUGUCCAUAGACUAAUAAUAAUAAUAAUAAACUUUAUUUAUAUUCUGCCCUAUCUUCCCAGAGGACUCAGAGCAGAAUCCAAAGAUAAAAAGGCAAACAUUCAAUGUCCAAACACAACAACAAUACACCCAUAAUAAUGAAAAAAUGAUGACUCAACAUAUAAAAAGAAAUUGUGACUUAACAACUAAAAUUAAAUAAAAACACAACCUAUUUAUCAUACAUAAAACAAAACAUCAAACAGAAGCGUCAGUUUCCCAGUUCCUUGGUUGCAAAUACAUUGAUGUCUAUUGACAAACAUUGGUGUCACUUAGCAUCCACCUCCUCAGUUCCUACUCCCUGUUUUUGUGUUAUUAAAUGUUUAUCCAGAACUUAGCAAAAAACAUUUUUUUCAAUUAGAAAAAAUGCAGAAUCUCAAAGUUCUAUGGUUCUAAAGAAUGGACAAUUAUCUGACCAAGUGGUCUUGUGCGUUACAGUACAAAGGGUGAUUCCCCCAGCAAUGGAUAAUUCUCCCAGAUGAUGGCAAUGGCAAUGGCAAACGUCUUCUGGAUAAAUCUUGCCAAGAAAGCCCUCUAGUAGGUUUGCUUUAGGGUCACGACCAUAGGUUGGAAGUGACUUGAAGGCACACAACAAAAACAACAAGUUUAUUAAACAUUUCAGCAUCUCCUUAUCCAGGAACACUAACUAGAAUUUUACUAAAAAUGACAGCAGCAUUGAAUUGUAAGUGCAGCUCUCAUCACAGAAAGAACUUAUGGAAAUGUAAGAAAAAAACUCUUACAAUAUCUCCUUUAUUGCUGAACCUCUGUAGUUCAUUUAAAUGUCUUCAUACACAUUCCAGAACAAAACCAUAAUCUGAACAUUGAAAUAAGGUUCCCACACAUACUGCAUUAAAACUGGUUAGUCUUAUUUGAGAGAAAAUCAUUUUAGGGUCAAAGUGGGUUAAUAUAGAAUUGUUGCUUUGCUUUUCAGAAUUUGCUAGCUAGCAAGGUGCUUGCUCCUUGCAAAAAAGUUCCACCCAGCUCUCCAUUUUGUAUCCAAUAUCGAAAAGUCAUGAAGCCAAGCUACAGCAUUUUAAUCCUUAAAUUUACAGUCAUAGCAACAGUGCAGUUAUUACUAGGGGUAGCACUAUCAGUAUUGCUGCAAUAGCUUCACUUAUUGCUUUUUUUGGAUUUAAGACAGUGAACACGAAAGGUCAUAAAAACAAAAUAGGCAUUGCCUGAAGCUACAAUCACAUAGUAUGUCUAUAUCUUGGAUCAGCAUUGGAGCAUACAUGGAGCUCCUGUGUAGAAAUGCUCUCUUGUGUAUUUCAAUGAAACAAAUAGAUAGGGGAGACUGGGAUAUGAAUACAAAACUGCUCCCUUCAUUGACGUAAAGAGGGGUACCCUGUUAGAAGUUUCAAGAGCUACACCAGAAAUCCUGUAGAAAUUCAGAAUGGCUGAACCACUUGGAAAUUUUAUUUUGGGUAUUUUUAGUAAGAAUAUAUUAAAAUGUAUAGGAUUUUUUGUAUUGUUGGUGGAAAAAAUAUGUGUUUUUUUAAAACUUAUUAUAUGAAAAAGCAAAACUGGCAGAUUUACCGAUUUAGGCUUUGAAUGCUUAAAUCUCAGAAUUCUGUCUUUGAAUCCCACAUUAGUGUUUAUUUAGGAUCAUUUCUUUUUUUAGAAAAAGAAGAAACAGUUCCUCCAUUUUAACACCCAUUUGUCAUGCAGAUAGAAGGUGGCGUUUUCUAGGCUGGGCAUAUUUAUACUUACUGAUUUUGGCCGGAAGAGAUAUUGAAGAAUUUGUGUGUGUAUAUGUUGGGGAAAAAAGAAAUUUUGACAUUUCUCAUAGUUGGUGUAGAAAGAAUUUGAAGGCUAACAAAUUGCCUGUGGCAGCAGGCAAAAUGGACAGAAAUAUUCCCCAGGGCUACCAUGACACUAAGCCACUGACUGGCAGGGUUUCCUUCUGCUGAUAUUUUUGGUAUCUUGGCCCAUCUGAAGAUGCUUCUUUGGUUAUGUCAAAAAUGGCCAGUAUACUGCUUUCUCUUUUCAAAUGUGGAUGGGGUUCGUCCAAAUGAAUGACUGAAAUCAGAGCUGAUUCAUUGCAAAUUUGUUUGGAAGUAAGUCUUGUGGUAAACCAGUCAGCUCUAGGAAGGUCAGGAGGUGGAUUUAAAGCUAGCAUCUAUAUUUUACCUAUCAUAGCAAAGCCAUGAAUUGCCUAAGGGUGUUUCGCAAUUGCAGUACCCAAGCUGCAUAAAAGGGAGAGGCACUGAAAGACGUUCUGUGCAAAGACUCCAAUUUCAAACAGAUGUCCUCCACCCUGUUCCACUGUCCAUCUCUCAGCCUUAAUUUAUUGGAUCCUUAAUUCAAUUCAUGGCAACAUUAGCAGUGGAACAAAUCAGACCUGAUUGUAAUCUCAUACACAAAGGCCUCCUGGUGGAAUAUAUAAGCUUUGGCAAAGCCACCCACUUAAAUGUUACACAAGUGAACAUUAAAAAACUCCAGAUGUUUGUCAAAACAUGAGGAUAAUAAUAGUAAGAAUAACAAUUAUAAGAACAACAAUAAAAAGAUGGAAAACAGUGACAAAUUAAAAAUAAUAUGAAAAGCAAAGUAAUACAUUUUAUUGAUUAGCACUUAGGCUGUAUCAAAAUACCAAACCGAACAAGAAGGCUUGAUACACUUGAAAAGCAAAGUCUUUCCUAUAUCUGACAAAUAUGCAGUGAGUUUUCUUCAUCCCAACUUGGAACAUCCGCAGGUUUCAUUGUACGUUACCUGAAGCCAAAUGACAGGGCUUCGGGCUACUAAUGAUAUUCUAGCAAAACUGUCAUUAUCAGUCAAUGUUUGGCCUGUGUUUAAAUGCCUGCUUAGCCAUGAAGCUCACUGGUGUCCUUGGGCAAAGCCAAAUUAAUCCGACUUGCAGAGUUCUGACAGCAAAAUGAAAGCACUCCGAUGUACACUGUCUGGCAUUCCAUGGGAGACAGAUGAGGUAUAAAUGGGAUCAAGAAAGAAAUGCAAUUUCUUCUUUGAGUAAGAAACACUGAUAAAGAAAGACAGAGAAACAAGUCAGUGCCAGGGGCAAAUGCCAGGAUAUAGUUUGCACAGCUGCAUGUGGGAGGAAGCAAAAGGGCAAAGUGAGCAGGUGGGUUAUAAGAGAAUCACAGCAGAACAAGAGAAGUGGCAGCCAUGAACCCGAUAGCAAAACUCAUAUUGAUGACCAACAGGGGCCAUCCCAAAUGUUAAGCAGAGCGAGGCAGUCACCUCUAGCAGCAGGUGCUGAGGAGAGGCAACUGAACCUCCCUUACCAAUUUCGCUACAAUUCCUUGGAUUUUCUGCUCUGUCCUGCAAGCUGAACUGCUGGUCUCAGGUCUGUCCAGCUCUCUUUACUACUGGUGGAAUAAGGUUCAGCUGCCAGCCCAGUUAGCUUCUGUACAAGAAUGGAGAAAAAUGCCGUCUUGUUCUUUCCCAACUUAAUAGUAUCCACUUCUUGUCUCUCUCUUUUUAAAAAAAUAUGUGAUUCAAGAUUCUACAUGCUGGGUAGGGCAAGUAGCCCACGUUAAAAAAAAUUCCCAGGCAAAGAGAUGGGGAGGUGAGGCUGUGGAUCAGCGAUUCCUAAUAGGCAAAAAGCAUGACAGAAGACAGAUGCCAUGGUUCUGUUCUCUGUUUAUUAUAGUGAUUUUGAUUCAUCUACUUCCUUUGGGAUCGGAGACCAAGGAGCAAUCAGCAAAUGCAAUACAGUGCAGAGACACAUUCAAUCCAGUUCCUUCUGCACUUCUGCCAAUAAUCAACCAUCAUACUUGAGUUUUGGCACGAACCCAAGCAGUCUCUUCCCAUUUACCGUAAACACUGCUUAAAUCAAAUUUCAGCUAUCAACACACAUUUCUUGUCAACUGCAAUUUGUCACCACUGUGUUUCAAUCCACAAAGGAGUUCCUAUGGAAAUAUAGAAAAGCAUGUGUUUACCCAAAGUUUUCUUUUGUUUCAGUGAGCCUUGCAUUCCAUAGAACUCAAUGGGCCUAGAAUUCCUGGUGUGUUUUGAUUUUCCUUGAAAAUUUCUGGUAGGCUGGGUGCUUUCUUGGGAUCUAAAUUAGGAGCAGGCAAAGUACAGCCUUCCAAAUUUCAUUGGAUUGCAACUGCUGUCAUUCCAGCUUGUAUAACUCAUGGUGAAGGAUGCUGGGGGCUGCAAACUAACAACAUCCAGAAAACCACACUUUGUUCAUUUCAGACUAGAUCGUCUGCAUUAAAACAAAGGGGAAAGUGAAACAAGAUUCCUUUAGUAGACAGCUUUGGAAGAAGCUAUCUCAAGAGAACAGCUUUGGGAGUCCUACAAAGACUUCUGCUUUAGAGAAGGGGCCACCUAGAUCACAGCUUUUAAAAUUGUGGGUGAGUACAAUGGCUCAACGUUGGGGUCACAAAAAAUUGGCAACAGUAAAUGUUUCUGACUGCCUGGCUGAAACAAGGCCCAGCCGAAACACCUGCUGCCUCCUGAGGCUGGGGCAUAAAAGGAGGAUGCUGGUGGGGGCCCAGUCACCCAGCACCAUCUUAGACAGCCAUGGAACAUCAACAACGAGGAGCUUGGAGGAAAGAGCAGUGUUUGUUUGCUGCAGGCUGCCUUUGACCUCAGCUCCUGGUGACUGGCUCCUUGCAGACUCUGGCCCUGACUGCCUGGCUGAAGAAAGGCCCAGCAGAAACAUCUGCUGCCUCCUGAGGCUGGGACAUAAAAGGAGGAUGCUGGUGGGGGCCCAGUGCAUCCAAGAGAGUCAAAGAAGACAUUAAGACCAUGAAGGGGGAGGGGGAAGGUGUACUCAGAUGCUGUUUUUAUAUUUCUAUGUUUUAAUAUCUUAAUGUUAAUGGUUUUAAAUUAUAUUUAUAUUUUAUUUGUUUCUAUUGAUUUUUUUUAUGUUUUAUUUGCAUUGUAUAAUGUGGCAUUGCAUUUUUGUCUAAAUAUAUGUUGUACGCCGCUCUGAGUCCCCUGCGGGGUGAGAAGAGCGGGAUAGAAGUGAAGUAAAUAAAUAAAUAAAUAAAUAUUCCAUGCCAAUGUUUUAAUAUUGCUAUCUGAUGUAUUUUCUGAAAUGAAAGAGGGCCAUGGGCCAAUCUGUCUUUUAAGAGAUGAUAUAAAUUAUUUCCUCAUUUGCUUAUCUUAGUUGAUGACUACUGAUGACAUAAAACCCCGGCUCCUGAACAUGCAGUUAAUACAAGAUGGGGAAGGACUUGGGGCCAUGGGGGAAAAAUCUCAUAGUUAUAAUUUUUUAGUUGUUUCAUAAAAUAUUUAUACCCCAUCCUUUAUCAUGAAAUUUCUGGACAACAUACAGAUAAAACAAGAAACAAUUUAAAAUGAGUAUUAUUUUAAAUAUCAUUUAUUUAAUUCCAGAUUCAAAUAGAAUAUGACUUAAACUGUAAUAAAAAUAAUGAACAGGACAUAAAGUUAAAAUAGCUUAAAAGGCUAUGACAGUGGGAAAACAUAUCCCAAAGGCAGCAGAUCCGAUCUGAUCUCAGAGUUAACCCUGGUUAGUACUUAGAUGAGGGACCAGCAAGGAAUAUCAUGUCCUGUAGACUAUCUUUCAGAAGAAGAAAAUUGCAAAAUCAUCUCUGAGUAUUCUUUGCCUAAGAAAAGUCCAUGCAAUUCACAAGAUCACCCUAAAUCUAAAGAAGAUUUGAAGGCACACACACAUAAAGAAAUAUUUAAAGAAAAUCAAACCCUAAAGAGUUUAAUUUUAAAAAAUCACAAGAAAGAGAACAAAAAAACUGCCAAUAAUAAUUGAGAGAAAACUCCACUCCAAUCCAGGUUCUUGUGUUUUCUUCACUUUCCAAUACCAUUUCUCCCUAAAUUAGAUAUUUCCCUGUUGGAGUGGUGUUGUCUACAAUUUUACAUUUUUCUGUUGAAAACCUAUUGGGAACAAUGCUCUACCUCAGUGAUUCUCAACCAGGGGUCCCCAGAUUUUUUUGGCCUACAACUCCCAGAAAUCCCAGCCAGUUUACCAGCUGUUAGGCUUUUUGGGAGUUGAAAGCCAAAAACAUCUGGGGGCCACAGGUUGAGAACCACUGCUCUACCUUAAGAUGUUCUCUUUUUAAAGGGCUGACAGUCCAAGUCCAGCUUAUAGAUAAGGAACUUUUUAAAGAGGGAAAAGGAACUUUUUAAAGAGGGAAAAGGAACUUUCAGAUUGGCCUUCAAGAGUUAACACAAGACAAGACAGAACAGAUGCAUAGGUCACUUGGUCACAGUACUGUCUCUACUAUGAAGAUGCACUGCCUAUUCAAAUUUCUUUUAAAGAUCCUAUUUAAAUUAGAGUAGUUCUUUUGAAAUUUUCAUCAGAGUCUAUAAAUUACCAUAUACAAAUUUCAUGGAUACCUGUGAUUUUUCUGUUCUCUCUUGCUCUUUCUGUCUCUCUCUACACUUCUUUCUACCAAUAAAUCAGGAUAAAAGGAAACAGCAGAUGGAAACAGACAGACUCACAAGUGUGUGGAACACUAUAAGAGAGAAAAAAGAAUAAUUCUUAGUAUGUGUUUUAGCCUUUGCCAGAGCUUUGAAGUCACCAUUUGCAAACAACUUGGUCUUAAUUGCUGCCUUCUCCCAGUAACAAAUGUAUAACAUUGCCUUACACUUGUAAAUCAAUGAGAGAUAGCUUCAUUUCUUCUUGAAGUAACUGUAUAGUUUUAUAGUUUAAGGAGUGUGGCCUCACUAAAAGGUGGAGGAAGAAUAUUAAAUGGUUCAAGAUCUGGCUUGUGAUGCUAUUCCUUGCUUUGCUGUCAAGGAGAGAGAUGAUAACAAGAUGGACAGAGAAGACAAAGUGUUUUGUACCACGGGGUAGUUUCUUACAGUAUUCAUAUUUUAAUAGUAAAUUAAAAGUAGCUAUUUGGUAACUUUUUGAGAAACAGGUAUUAAAUAUUGUCUUUCAAAUUAAAACCAUCAUGGCAACUACGUGGGGGCUUGGAAUUUUCACUGUAACAGUUGUUUAAGUGUAACAUUCCAAACAAUUCAGAGAGCAAUGUUGUAAAGACUAGACACCAGUGUCCCAGUAUGGGAAACCAUGUUAUUUUUCCACCUUUUAAUGAGGCUUAGUACAAUUCUAAGGCAAAUAUAGCACAUCCAGGACAUUUUGCUAUGAAAACCAGGACAAAAAAAAUGAAGCCUUUUGCCAAACCAAGAUGCAUAGUAUCCCAUGCUAGACAUGUUCUUGUGGACACUAAUGCAGAAAGUCUUACAAGCACCUCUCCCAGACAUUUAAUAAAAUAACAUUCAUUAGUAGUUAGUCAUUCACAUUUCUAAUAAAACCCAAAAUCUGCUGUUUGAGGUGGACCACCAGUGGCACAGUGGGUUAAACCCUUGUGCCUGCAGGACUGCUAACCGACAUGUCAGCGGUUCGAAUCCAGGGAGAGCCGGUGAGCUUCUUCUGUCAGCUCCAGCUCCCCAUGCAGUGACAUGAGAGAAGCCUCCCGCAAGGAUGGUAAAACAUCAAACACCUAGGUGUCCCCUGGGUAAUGUCCUUGCAGACGGCCAAUUCUUUCAUACCAGAAUCGACUUGCAGUUUCUCAAAUCACGCCUGACACAGAAAAAAAAACCCCCUAAUUUUCGUAAUGUUAGGUCUGGUUGAUCUAGUCCAUGUGUACAUAUGAGCCAUAUCUAUAAAGCUCUAAGGCAGGGACAGGGGCAGUGUGUUUCAUGGUUCCAAUGUGAACUCAACCCGUUUGUUGAUGUUCUCUAAGCCCUUCCAGAAUAUCCACAAAUUUAUGUAGAUUUUCAGGCUAAAGAGACUACAUCAGAAUUAUCCAUAUUGUCACAAAAGUGUACCCAAAUGCACCAAUUGGGGUUUAUUUGCCUCUCAUAAAUCCCUCCGAGGUGGAAAAAUCAGCCAGAAAUAGUUAAUGGUCUGAAGGCAUUAGACCACACAAACAAAAGACAUAUUCAAAACAUGAAAUUAGUGUCCGGAAAAAGGAGUGAAAAAAGAAUGAAUGGCCAUCCUUGAGUAACCCACAAAUGUUUAAUUUCAUUCAGGGAUUGAUGCACGUGUAUUUGCUUUAUUUCAGAGCAACUUGUAAAAUCCUUUGUUUGCUUUCUAAAAUUCACUUUGCAAUGCAUAAAUGGCCGAGAUUUGAUACAUACUGAACAGCACCAGGAGCUCACUGCAAAGUGAUCCAAUUGAUUCAAUCAUCUUGCUAAAAUUUGUAGUUUUUUUCAUAAGACAUUAAAAACCUUGGUGGUAUUUUGAUAAAAUUCAGCCUGCUUCAUUGCUAUUUUGGGCAGUGGUCUGUUGACGACUGACAACCAACAUUCGUUUUAGAAUAACACAGUCAUACAGAUUGUCUGACAAGGGACAUUGUGUCUUCAACAUUUACAAAUGGCUGGUUUUAAUCCUCUCAAGCAGCCAGUUAAAAGCUUCUGUCUGAUGCAUAAAAUUAAGUUAACAGUAAUUAAUGUAACCAGCCUGGAACCUUAGCAAAUUCCUGCCAGGAAGUGUCUUUUUGGUGUACCCGAGAGGCCAGGGUUAGCUUCAGAGUGCCAGCAAGCAGGUUGUGGAUUGUAAACACUGUAAUUACUUGCUAAGUUUCUAAAGCUCCAAUUGCCAGGCCAGUAGCCUAUACUUCUGGAACAGACAACCCCGUGAGAGGCAAGGAAAACAGAGGAAGGGAAUUUGUUCAGCUCUGCUUUGCUUUGGCAGCAUAUGCUGCUGGGCCACUGGUAUACCUGGCAAAGUUUUCUCCUAAGCUGAUGCUACAAACUUGCUUUUGACAAAGAACAACUGCUACACUAAUACUGUAGUCUCAAGUAAUAGCGCCUUGUUACCACUAUGACUGGCAGCACUUUAGUCAAGGAAUCAUAGGAUUUGUAGUGCAAUGUUUAGAAUUCACAUUCAAAGAAUUAGAAAAUAGUUGUUGAAGGGAAAGCAGAGGAAAGAUGUCUAAGCAUGGAGCCAAGGCAAUAAAAUUGGGAUGAAAUUGCUCUCAUGGUGCAGUAUUGAAAUACAUUAGAUCAGGGAUCCCCAAACUAAGGCCCGGGGGCCGGAUGCGGCCCUCCGAGGUCAUUUACCUGGCCCCCGCCCUCAGUUUUAUAAUAUAAUAUAUUGUAUAUAUAUUGUGGCGCAGACUGGAGAGCAGCUACAAUGAAUCACUGCAAUGAAUCACUCUGACCAGGAGGUCAUGAGUUCGAGGCCCGCUCGGAGCCUAUGUUUGUCUUGUCUUUGUUCUAUGUUAAAAGGCAUUAAAUGUUUGCCUAUAUGUGUAAUGUGAUCCGCCCUGAGUCCCCUUCGGGGUGAGAAGGGCAGAAUAUAAAUGCUGUAAAUAAAGUAAUAAAUAAAUAAUAAUAUUAUAAUGUAAUACAAUAUAACACUAAUAAUAAUACAGUAGAGUCUCACUUAUCCAAGCUAAAUGGGCCAGCAGAAGCUUGGAUAAGCAAAUGUCUUGGAUAAUAAGGAGGGAUUAAGGAAAAGCCUAUUAAACAUCAAAUUAGGUUAUGAUUUUACAAAUUAAGCACCAAAGCAUCAUUUUAUACAACAAAUCUGACAGAAAAAGUAGUACAAUACGCAAUAAUGUUAUGUUGUAAUUACUGUAUUUAUGAAUUUAGCACCAAAAUAUCAUGAUAUAUUGAAAACAUUGACUACAAAAAUGGCUUGGAUAAUCCAGAGGCUUGGAUAAGCGAGACUCUACUGUACCAUAUAAUAAUAUUAAUUAUAUAUUCUAUAUUACAUAUAAUAUUACUAAUAAUAUUACAGCAUAGUGGUAUAGUUCAAUAUAGUAAUAUAUAAUGCUAAUAUUGUGCUAUGCUAAUAUUGUAUGUACAUAUAAUUUGUAAGCCACUCUGAGUCCCCUUUGGGGUGAGAAGGAUGUGAUACAAAUGUAGUAAAUAAAUGCAGUAAAUAAUAAAUAAAUAAAUAAAUUUUAGACUUAGGCUCGCCCAAAGUCUGAAAUGACUUGAAGGCACACAACAACAACAACAACAACAACAACAACCCUAAUUAACAUGACUAUCUCAUUGGCCAGAAGCAGGACCACACUUCCCAUUGAAAUCCUGAUAAAUGUAUGUUGGUUAAAAUUGUUUUUAUUUUUAAAUAUUGUAUUGUUCUUUCAUUGUUGUUGUCCUUGUUGUUGUUUUUGCAGUACAAAUAAGACAUAUGCAGUGUGCAUCGGAAUUUGUUUGUAUUUUUUUUUUCAAAUGAUAAUCCGGCCCCUCAACAGUCUGAAGGAUUGUGGACUGGCCCUCGGCUUAAAAAAGUUUGAGGACCCCUGCAUUAGAUCUUCCUUUGUGGAUGAAAAAUAGAAGGGAAAGGCAACCUGGUCAUAGACAUUGAUCAAAGGAAUUCAGCUUUGGCAAGAGGCGUUGAAGCAAGAAAUCCAUGUGUUAUGAAAAGAAAAUUGGAUUUAAAAAGAAAAGGGAAUUAGAGUAAUUUCAUAUAAUUGUAGGAAAAGUUCAUCACAUACACUCCAUGAAAAUCCACAAUAUAAUCAGUGUUAGUUUCCUUCCAUCAAAGGAUGUCUGGAUCCUUUGAAACGGUCAUUGUGUUCACAACUACAGUGAUGUUUUCAUCAGCUGGUGAUGGGCUUUAGCCAAGCUGAUCCUCAAACAGCAGACAAAAAGUCCUUUUUGUUGCAUCUGCAGUAGACCCACUGAAUCAACUACUGAAGAGUAGGUGAACCCUUAGUGAAAUAAUCUGGUUCAAUGGGUAUUCUCUAUCUGAACAAAAAAAUGGAUUUACACCAGAAGCCUUCCCAAGUUAGUAGAACCUAAAAGAUCUUGCACUACAUUAGCACAUCAUAGUCCAGAAUCACCUCCACACCUGAUAAGGUGAGAAAGUAUGACUUUGGGGAAUAGAUAGGUUAGUUGCAAGUGUGUAAAAUGAUGGAUGGAUGGAUAGAGAGGAAGAGAGAUAAAUGUAUGAACGAGUGGCCUGGCAAAAUUUAUAGCUAAAUUUGAAUUCCCCAUAUAAUUAGUAUGUUAUGCCCUAUUGAAGACAAUGGGAUUUGGUUUCUUGCAACCUUCCUAGGAAUAUGCUACCUAUGCCUCAAGACCUUUGGCAUCAAAUAGCAUGUGAAUUAUAUAAAUGAAAACAUUUAUAAACUCUUGUUAUUCUACCUUUGCUUUAAAAUCCCGAGGCAGUCAAGUAAGCAUUUGAAAUUAGAACAAGAAAGAGCACACAUCACAAUGAAUAAGGAACAUUUCAAAUCUAGUAGUGACAGAAUGAAACAGAAACUACAAUAAAAACAGCUCCAAAGAAAACAAUAGUGAGCUAGAGAUAGCCUCCAAAUUAAACAUCAUCCCAUAAAAAGCCCACAGCAGGGUGAAAAGAACAAACAGAAUAAACAAAUAAAUGCAUAGAUUUAUGAUUCAUUAUAUUCAUGGGGCAUAACUAUGAUAACAGCUUUCCUAAUGGAAAAAAGAAACUCCAGUAAGAAACUUUCCAAAACCAUGAGAGAUGAAAGGUACAGUCACCAUAGUUAUCUUUUCUCCAAUGUAAACAGCAAAGAAACAUCAGCUUUAAUGACUGGUUGAUAGAUUAAAUGCAACAUCAAUGUGCAUGGAUCCCUCCCCUGAAGAAAUCCACAAAUAAGGAUGUUUGAUGUACAACAUAUUUAAUUUAUUGCCAUUUUCAUUAUUGCUAAUAGUACUAUAGCUACUGCUGAGACCAUAGCAUGAUUUCUCACCACACCAGUCUGUGGCUGCAUAGCAAAACUGAAAGAAUAAUUCUGUGAACAUAAUUUGGACCUUACCCAGAAGGACCAGUUUGGCUCUGCACAUUCGUUGGUCAGCUUGAAGAAAUUUCAACGGCUUGGAACAAGAUGUUCUGAUGCACAAAUCUCAAAAAGCUCUGAACUUUUCUGUUGUCCUUGUAUUCUGACACCUUGUGAUAAACGGUUCCACAAUAGCUGCAGCUGCUCCAAGCUGUCUAAGGUCAAUAAAGGUCAACACUCUAUAUCUAAUGAGAACAGUAGUUGACAUAUUGCAGCCAAGAGGAUAAUGUUUGUCAUGGAUUACUGUCACCUUUCAAGAUGGUGGCUGGCUGCAGUCAACUUCAUUCUUUCAGGCUCAAUCUGUCCAGAUUCUUUAGGUCUGCUCAAUUGUUAUAUCAAGGCUCUGAGAAUAUUCCCGAGGGACCGUAAAAUGACUAUUCAUCCUAACCCCUUUUGUGUAUCCUGGUUAACUUCUGGAAGAACCAACAGAAGACCACUCUAGGGGCAACUGCCCCCCUCCACCAUAAAAAAACUUCCAGCUGUUAUUAAACAAGCAUAUAGAUGGCUGUAGUGUAGCAGUGAUGUAGUGUGAACAAUCUCCAUUGGGAUUUGGAAGAGGUGCCUGUGCGAUACCCAUCCUUUUAAGGUUUGCCACUGUGCCCAAAAAGUAUCAUUACUCCAUGUAAUAAGGAAAAUGUCAAAAUGGUAGCUUUCUAAAUGACUGCUAUUACUACCUGGCACAUUUGAGCAAAGGCAAGUAGGAAGAUAUACAUCAGGUGUCAAUACUGUUGAGCCCAAUUAAGGGCAGUGGUAUCUUCAUUUAUUAUCCUUAUUUAUAUCUUUCAUUUGCUCUCUCCCCUCUCCAGUUUGACUUAGAGUGGUCUACCAUUUAAAACCAGGACAAAACUGUAUAACUGCCAUAUCAGUGAAGCCAUAGUUAUUGUUUCCAUAAAUAAUGGAGUUGUACUGUAUAGCAAAAAAUGAUACACAAGUCAACAUUAAAACAAAAUUAUGCAAUUUCAGAUAUUAAAAUGAUUUAAAACAUUCCCUUUAAAAUGGGUAACAAAUGGUUAAAAUGCAGUUCAAUAAAAAUGGAACAGCACUCGAUUAAAAAGCCUUUUCUUUAAAAGCUUACAGUUUAAGCUUACAGUUUGUGCAUGCUUAACAAAGGACAAAAGGAUAGAUAAUAUCCUGAGAUAUCCUGAAAAAGGAGAAUCAGAACAUAUGAACAUGAAUUCCUGAUAUGUAUACUAUAUCUUACCUUAUCUAAAUAUUGCUGGGUGAUUAUCCUUUACGAUCAUCCGGGGAGGCCCUUUUAUCACCACUGUCUUUAUCCCAGGCCCGCCUUGUGAGUACAAGGGAGAGGGCCUUUUCUGCUGUGGCCCCCGAUUGUGGAACUCACUACCUACUGAAAUUAGGCAAGCUCCCACGCUGUUAGCUUUUAGGAAAGACUUGAAAACAUGGCUCUUCCGCUGUGCCUUUGGUGAGUAAUUUCUGUUAUUUCUGUGUUACUCCCACCCCGAACAUCUAUCCUCUAGAUUACCCCACUUCCAUAUGUCCCUGCCCGCAGUGGAGUACCCCUAUGUCCCUCUCACUCCAGGUUUUAUCUUUGUGUUCACGUGGCCUGCCCUUGUUUUACUGUUUUUUUGAUUUCUUGAUGUAAUGCCUAUUAUCAUUUAUUGUAUUUUUAAUGGUGCUAUGUUAUGUUGUUUUAUAUUUUGUUAUAUUGUAUUGCUCUGGGCAUGGCCCCAUGUUAGCCGCCCCGAGUCCCUGUUGGGGAGAUGGUGGCGGGGUAUAAAUAAAGUUUUAUUAUUAUUAUUAUUAUUAUUAUUAUUAUUAUUAUUAUUAUUAUUAUCCUAGAAUCUCUGCCAAGUGGCUAGGGAUGAUGGGACAUGUACUCUAGUUUGGUCAAAACCUCUAUGUGCACACAUGAGCUCUGUAUGUGACCCAAAAACUAUAAACAGUGGAAUUUUAGACCACACAUCUAUAGAUUAUGCAUGUGCAUCACAGAAUAAUUAUUUUAGUUAAGAGGUCCGUUAUCUGUAUCUGGGGCUACAUGGACUGCCCCAAAUAAAAAGAAAACCAGAUGUGGCCAGUGGUACAAUUCUGGUUUUGAAAAAUGGAUAUUGUUUAAAAGUGCUAGGUGAGAGUACUACAACUUAUUAAAAAGUGAAAUUGAGGGUGAAAUUCAUUAGUACAGUGUUUUCUCACUACUUCACGGUUCACUUUUUGCGGAUUCGCUGUUUCGCAGUUUUUCAGUAAACGCUAAAAGACUAUUAUAAAUCAUAAAAAAUUACAAUUUACAGCCUAAGGAAGGGAGGAAGCCAAAGGGAGAGAAAAGGAGCCCAAGCGGCAAUGGAAGAAGAAGACAAGUUAUCAACACACUAUUGGUUGAUAAAGACUUAAAAUACUGUAUAACUACAAAAAUAAUGUAUAAAUAUUAAAAUAAAUAUAGCGUUCCUACUUCGUGGAUUUUCACUUAUUGGGGUGGUCCUGGAACCUAACUCCAGAGAUAAGUGAGGGAACACUGUACUUUUAGGUCAGAAUUAGUAUCAUUCAAUAAAUCCAGAACAACAAAAAUAACUUUGGGAUCCACAUGAGUUUACCACUUUAGGUUUAUAGUUUUCAAAUUCUCUCUCUCUCUCUCUCUUGCUUUGAUUGUGUCUCUAUCAAUUUUAGCCCCAGGUCAACAGCCCAUUAUCUGAACUAGUGAUUGGCUAAAAUUUCUGAAAGUCUGCAAAACUGCAUCAUCAAUUUCUUUCUUUGAUUUAAACUGGAUUAUUUUAAAUUCAGUGAAAACCAUUUUGAACUAACAGGAUGUCAUCACAAGAAGCUGGAGAAAACAAGGGAAAGCAGGGGAAAAGGUGGAAUUUCAUGGGAUGCUAUCUUUUUUAAGGCGGGACUUUCCCUGGGGUCAUUUGCACUGAGAUUUGUUUCCUCCCAUUGUCCUCCAGGAUUUUGAUUAUCUAUCUUUUUUACCUUGGAUCAUCUUUUCCAGAGCCUUUGCAUUAGCGAUUGUAGGAAAUGGUUUUAAAUUAAUCCCGAUUGGCGAUCUGGGGGAAAUGAGCAUUUUGACUCAUCCUACACAGCAUCAUCAUUUUAUUUAGAAGUGGGCAACACGGAUUAACAUCACAUGGGAAAAUUGGCUAUUUUGCCCAUCUCUAUGUGGGGAAUUUAAAAAUAAAUUGAUUGCCAACUGGCUUAAGAAUUGUUGGGAAAAUCAACACUUUAGAAACAGCAAAAUACCUCAACCCACAGCUGAAGCUUGCAUUGUAUGAAAGGCACUGUGAGUUGAUCUUUCCUAAAUAUGUAGAAACACUGAUUUUACUGUGUGUGAUGAAGUCCUUUCUAGGGGCAGUGUGCCCCACUAUCACCCUCCCACUGCCCUGCCAGGUGAAAGUCCAUAUUAUAUCCCAAUUAAUAAAAACAAAGCUGGUCAUCCAGAAUCUCAUGAUGCACAGUUUCUCCAGGACUAUAAUGUCUACUAUUCUUUCUAAAAGCAAACUCCCGUGGUGAGUGCCAACAGGAUUGAAGCCGAAGGAAGAUAGUGAAAAACAGCAGAGAUUUAUUAGUUUAUCAAAAUACUCAUUGAAUCCCUGAAAUUUGUAAAAGUGUAACAUAUUUUGGAGAGGAGAAACCCCUAAGGCUGUAGCCUCUCCCACCAAAUCAAUCCAGUGAAGACACACCCAGUAACCCUGGGAUAUGAGAGCCAGUUUAAAAGGGUGUUGAGCAAAGAAGACUCCCUUUGCUUUGUAGAGUCAGAACCUGGCUGAAUUGUGGUGGGGGAGAGGAUUCAAAUCCGUGUGUUUUUUAACAUGAACUGAGAUAAUGCAGCAUAUUAAUAGCAGCCUCGGCAAUAGGACUAAUCAUAAUGCCAUUGCCCAUUCCCAUUGCACAGUUUAUUUGGCCUUUCUAAAAACUAAUUGCAUGUCUUAAGCCACCCAGCUGACAAAUGGGAAUGAAAUAAUGGUGGGAGGAGGAACCUACUUCUCAUUUUUCCCUAAACUAGGUUUGAUUUAAACUGCCCCCUCCAGUUCAGCAAUAUAGCCACGGGGCUUAAUUUUCAUGAUAACAAGCAAGCAGACCAAUUAGGCUCUGGACGCUGAUCAUUAAUCACUUGGCCAACUGAGAGAUCAUCUGCUCACCUCUACAGCCAAGAUGACUCUGAGGUCAACUUACUGUCACCAUCAAGUGUAUUCAUCUAGGACUGCCAGUCUUUCUUUGGAUAUAUCAUGUCCCCCCUUGUUUUCAUAGUGGACAUGUAAUAAAAAAAUGUGGGUGUAUUACAUGCUAAUACUUUUGUUUUCAUAGUGGACAUGUAAUAAAAAAAUGUGGGUGUAUUACAUGCUAAUACUUUUAUUUCAUUGUUUGAGAUAGUCAACUGCAAGGAGUUAGGAAGCCACAUUCCAUACAGAGCCCUGAAGGGCACAUCCAAUUUCCUUACCAUGCCCCAUGAAAUUGGGAGAGUCUGACAAUAAUGUUGCCCAAAGUGCCCUCUGAAGCUUUUAAGCAAUGCACGAUGUCAUUUUAUCACAAUUUUAGGAGAUGCCUUCCUUGUUUUUCAGCAUGAAAUGGUCUUUUUGAUAGCUAGGAAGGAAUUUCCUUUGUUAUUAUUGCAUUUAUAAUUAUACAAUUAUAACUAAUUAAAUAAAUAUUUCCUCCUUUUGUGGUAACCCAAAUCAGGUGCCUGAGACAGUUGCUUCAUUCUGCUUAUGGGUGUGACCGGCUUUAGGCUUUGAUUUGAUCUUCAUUCCUUCAGUUCCAUUACUCUCUCUUGGGCUGUAUCUACACAACCCUAUAUCCCAGGAUCUGAUCCCAGAUUAUCUGCUUUGAACUGGAUUAUAUGAAUCUACACUGCCAGAUAAUCUGGGAUAAUAAAAUAAUCUGGGAUCAGAUCCUGGGAUAUAGGGCAGUAUAGAUCCAGCCUUGGUUACUUCUAGGAGGUUCAACCACUUUCGCUUCUCCAUAUGCAUCCCCAUAUACUUGGAGUGAGCUCUCAGAUCACCUGCUUUAGACCACUUCUUCUACAUUCUUCAUCCAUCAGGUUUGGGGUCCUCCAGAUGUCACUAAACUAUGACUACUGUAUCCCUGACUACUGGUCCAAAAACAUCUGGAGUGUCACAGCUUUCCAGAGACCAACCUAUACAUAGCCUUUAGCUCAGCCCUAUACACUUUAUAUACCCCCUGACCCUAUGAUACUCUGGUGCACAAGUUUUACUCAUCCCUUAUAGUUGACCAUGUCUACCAUGAAGUCCUGUUUACUGGUAUUUGAAUCCUUGAUGGAGUAUAUUGAUUUAGAUUUGUAAUUUUAUGUCUAUUUUUAUGUCUGUUGUUUUGGUACUGUCUUAUGAUGUUGUUUAGUAUGUUUACUAUGUUUAACUUAAUUCUAUGGGUUUUUUUACUAUUUAAUGCUUUUUAUGUUCAUGUUGGAAACUGCUCUGAGUCCUCUCAAGUAGAUGGAGUGGUAUAUAAAUAAAGUUGUUAUUAUUAUUAUUA